rnacentral:lncRNA from 1 species
UUUUUUUUUUUUUUUUUUUUUAUAAAAAGGAUGUGUAAGCGGCUUCACUUCCAAGUUCCAAUCACGAUCACGAGUUAGGGCAUCGCUUGCGAUUGGGAUUUGAUUGCCUACGAAGAUAAGUCUUUAUACCUGCGAUCCAACAUGUGUUAGUGUAGACUGAAGAUUUUGAAAAACAAUUCAAGGGAGUCACUUUGUCGCUGAAAAAACGCGAGAAAGGAGGAGAUACAUACUGUGAUACAGUCCGAGUCAUACUAGUUGGUGUUGGAUAGAAGGAAUGGAAGGGCUAAGGGAGCUGGAAAGGGUGCAGAGAAUUAUAGAGCUGAUGGAAUCCCAUGGCGUCUUGAACCCCAACAACAACAUUAAUCCUUACUCCAAUCGUUUCCUUGCAAAUUUCACCCACUUCUUGGUAAAUUUUUGGCUUAGCUUUCCCCCAGUUGUCGUCAUUCUUAGAUUUUCUGUUCUCCCAUUUCGUCUGCACUCUCUACAUUGAGACUCUUGCAUGUGUUGUCUACUGAAUUCGGUCCCAACAGGGUACCCCAAAUUGUUGAAAUAAAUUUGUUAAUUUUGGUCUUGAAGUUCUCGAAAUAAGUAAACAUAAUCCCUUGGUAGUCUUGUAUCUUGUUUGCAUGCCUAGCUGAUAGCUUUAGUGUCUCGCUCUAGUUAGAGCGAAGACGAUGCAGAAAAUUAGUGAUGAUAGGCUUAUGGGCUUGUAGGUUUGUUAAAUGGGCAAAGCCUGGGUACGAUGCUAUGGGAGUUGCGCUUAUGGCGCCUUCUUCUUGGAUUAGACGAAUUCCUGUUGUUGUUCAUGUAAAAGCCGUAAAGAUCAGAGCUUUUUUGGUUCCUGUUUAAGGGAAAAGGUUAUUGGUUAGAGCUUGUUUUUAAGUUCAGUUUUUUGUAAGAUUUUUCUGGAAGUGGAUCAGCCUAACUGCACUAGGUAAUGGCCAUUCGCAACGUGUAAUGUGACUUACUAGGAGGAUGGGCAAGCUCUUGCAUGGAGUAUAUGAAUUGUUGUAUGAUGGCUUGAUUGUGAGUCAUAUUGUACUGGAUGUGGUAAAUAUGCUGAAAUGGGUGGUUAUGAGUCUAUAAAAGUUAUUUCCUGAUCAACGUGAAAUCUUUGCCGUUACCCAAGUCCGAAUGAACCAGAUAAUAUUAACCAACAAUUUCUCUCAUUAAAGUUUGCGUGUCAUUUUUCUCUUAUUUUCCAUGCAUUAAAAAGUCUCAAUUUGUUUCAUUGCUCUCCCCUUGUGACCUUGAAUCAAUUUGGUGAAGGUUCAAACUUGCAGCGAGCUUGACAUGGAAAUCAAGUGCCAACUGAUUUCAGAGUAUAUGACAAAGGUUACUUUUUUGUGUUGUAUGAUAACUUGCCUAAGCUUCUUUGGGUGAUCUAAGGUUAGAGUAAAUGGGAUGCAAGAACUCUGCUUAUGCUUGUGAUUAUCCUUCUGACAGAUUUCAACUUUAUUUCUGGAGGAAGCACUGCAAUGUAUUGGGGAAGAAGGUAAAGUUUUCCAGUUCUACUCUUUAACAUUUUUUGUUUGUAGGCCAUCUUCUUAUGGAUUGUGCCCUCAGCUUCAUUACACAAUGGAGCUGAGUUUAGGCCAUAUAUGACCUAAAUGAAUCUGAAAAAGAUCGUAUGUAUUGAUUGUCUGAAACUUCUGCAAAAUGUCACUUUAAAUAAAAAAAAUAACUUGGUCAAUUUUGUCCUUUUCAGAUGAUGAAAUUUGCCGUUGAAAGGGGCAAUGAGUUUGACAAUGUAUUCAGGUCUUAUUGUUUGAUGGAAUAGACUUGAUUCUCAUUCUGCUUUUAAUGGAAAGAUAAACAUACAUACAAGUUUGGUAGACAUUCUCAUUUCAUAGACAAAAUAAAGCUGUGCAAACAGCAUGAAAACCAUUUACUUCCAAGUAGCAAAUUUGUGACUCAACGUAAGUGGCCUAUUUUACCAUUAUGAGGCCUGAGCUAAACUACUUCUUGGAAGGGAUAUAGGGUAUAUCUUGUGGGUUUAUUAAUUCUUCCUGCAAAUUACUUAGCUGACUAUGUUUUAAUUUGUAGGUAAUGAACAUAUUGGAAAUGCUGUGCCAGUACAUUGUGAUGAUGAGCAAAAUGUUGAUCCAUCACGAGACAACUUCCUAGAUACUGCUGCAAUUGGGCUGGACUCCAUGCUUCGAGCAAAUUCUACAUUGGAAGAUUUUGUAAGCAAUAUUGUCUUUGUUAUAAUCAAACCAUACAAUCUUUAGCAAAAGUCCUUUUUUAGUGCAGAAUUGGGUUUAAAAUUUAUUCAGGCUGUUUUUACUUUAUGCCAUAUAUGAGGAUAUGCUUGUUCUCGCAAUGGCAAGACUUUUCCUUAAGGAUUGUCCUCAACAUUGUUGGACUGACGGUAACAAUGAACAGUGUAGGUCAUAUUUUAUGUUUCAUAAGAUGGAUGUUCACCAGCCGCAGUUAAUAUUCAAAUACUUACCAAUACUUUCAUUUACAGAGAGUUACAUUUAUCAGGUAACAGAGCAACAAAAGGCAACUCUCUCUCUCUCCCGCUCGCUCUCUCUCUCUCUCUCUCUCUCUCUCUCUCUCUCUCUAUUUUCCCUUACUAUUUCUGGCUUAUAUUCUGCAUUUUGGUGUGUACAUUAACUUGGGACUCAAUACAUUGUUGGUCCAUUUACCUGUACAAUAGCUGCUCACUGACUUGCUCAUAUGUCCUAAAUAAAAUGUCAAGCUUCCUUACAUAGUGCUCUACCCUUUUUCAGAAUGGAAUACGAUAAUAUCAACAAAUCAUUAUGACAUGAAAAAAAUUGCAUUACUUUUUCCAGUAAAUGUGAAUGUGCCUACUGCUUGGUACCUAUAAAUGUGAAAAGUUGUGACAGCAAUUGUUCCAAUUUUUAGCUACUAUGAGUAAUGUGUCAAUUAUGUACCUGAAUAGCAUAGUGAAAGCCAACAUUAACUUUAAAGAAUGGGAAAGAACUCUUCUGUAGGGAUGAUAAUCAGCACAUAGGUCUAAUCAUGUGUUGUGUAAAUCAGCAAGUCAAACUGGACUGAGAAAGUUCUACCUUAAGACAUCAUGCUAACUCUGAUUACAAGGUUUUGGAGGAUGCUUGAUUUUCUUUUCUCAGAUUUUGGGCUAGACAAAGUGGAAGGGUAUGAUAGCUGUAAACAGUUCUUUGGCUUGGUUCAGUUAAAGUCAAGUUUCAACAUGCUGCAUGAUUACAAUUAGUUUUCUCGACAAAUAACUGAUGCUGUUAAAAAGGAUUUUAGUUCCAUAAUAUGUUUCAUUCUUGCUUCCUAUGAUCUUGAUUUUGAAUUUACAGUUGGAUACUUUGAAUGAGAAGCUACUUCAGUCACCAGCUUAUGGAGUUCAGCUUGGGGAAAUAGAAUCCUAUGUGGUAAAACCGCAAUUUAGAAGAUCUUUGUAUCACAUUAUUUUCAGGAUUUAGGUUAAAAGCUUGAUUUUCACUGUCCUUUGGUGCAGGGUUGCCAAACAGAGGGAAGAAGGGCAAUCAGAUCCUUGAAGAUGUUGGAAGCUGACCCAUUUAAACCACUUCUUAUCCUACUUGAGCAUCAAGGCCUUCUCACGGAGCGGUCUAUAUCUAUUUCUGUUAUGAUUUUUGUAGUUUCCUUUAUGUUCCCUCUCCUCCAUGUGGGUUCUUAAAGAGGAGUCUAAAGGUUUUUAGAAUCGUAAAGGUUAUAUUGCCCCCUCCUUUUUUCAGGAUAAGAGAAGAGCUUUGGUCUGGGGUAGAGUACUGGAGUCUUGAAAGAAAACUAUGUUGUCAUCCCUUGAGUGGAAGUGAGGUAAAAUUAACAAGUACAUUCUAUAUUUUGACAAAUAAAGUUUUGAGACAUUUUCCUUUCCUUGUUUGACUAAACCGGUGGCAUCAGAUUCUAUAUAGUGCAGAUAUCUGUUUAAUACAUGCAUAAAUUGGUAAUCUAUUGUAUCUGAUUUCUUUAAUUUGAGUAAUAAAGUUCUGCACUUGUGGAGAUUUAUUGCUACUUCUAGCAUCAUAAGUAGAGAAACUGGCCCCAUGUAUUGCAGCGUUUGGGGGAAAAGAUUGAUGGAAUGAAUAGAGUAUUUCAGGGAGAUGUAAGAAAAUAUAUUUAUUAAAAAUGCAGAGAAAAAUUUAAGAAGUGUUUGAUGGGAAACUUCAAUUUAGUUAUUAAUUUAUUAAAAUACCCCUUGGAAAGGCCCUUUACUUUAAGGGAGAUGUAGAAAGAAUAUCAGUUGAAAACUAUAAUCCUAAAAGAGAAGCUAGGGGCAGAAAACUAUACUUGCAUGCCAAAUAAUGAUUUCUUCAUGGCGCAGAUAAACAUCAAAUGGAGCUUAUAAUUCUAGCUACCAAUACACUUUCUGGUCUUUGGCAGCCUGUCAUCAUUAUUUUGGCCCCAUAGACAUGGAUACUUAAUGAAAGCAACUUUGUUAAUAAGGCUUCCAGUUUGUUCUGAUUUACAAGCUCAGUUCCUAAAACCUAAUACCCACACCAACUCCCCCCUCCCCCCCCCCCAAAAAAAUCUGCUAUUAAAAUAUUACCAUGAAAGUGCAUGAUAUUUAAUCCAUUUUGGCUGCAUAAAAGUCAAAUGGUUAUCUGCAAAGUUGUUAUAUAAACCAAAUAUUUAGGAAGAGUAUCCUGACUUGGACAAGAUGAAUUCCAGUUUUGGACUCAGGGAAUACUAUCUUGCUACUUAUUCUAUUCUUGGAACAUUUUCUUCUCUUAAUAUAUUACAGCAAGAUAUAUAAUAUCAGUAUAGCCUAUUAUCAUCAACAUUCAUCUUUAUUAUAUUUAUAAAACAUACUCUGCACUGUGCAGAGUAGUGUAGGAGAUGUGAUGAGGGCUAUUCAUCUGAAAUCCUUUGAUUAUCGGGUACUUAAUCUGCUGCUGUAUCAAUUGCGGGGUGAAAAGGUACAUUCCUGAUUGGUAUUUGGAAACUAUCUUUGAACUUCCAAUUCUAUUCUGGCCAAAACAUUAUUUUACAUGAAUGUCCUUUCCAUUUCAAGCUAGUUUAUUAAGUCACCAGUUUAUGAAAUUUAGGCCAUCUUUAUCUUUGAUGAUAUGGUUACACGUGUCACUCAAAUACCUACAGUUGCUUAUCUUGCUUUCAAUUUCUGUGACUGGCCUUGUUUAUUGUUUCUUUAUCUCCUAUCUUUUGAUUGGAAUAAAUGCUGUUUAUGGUAAAGAUGAUGAGGGUCUCCCCUUGAAUGAUUAAUUUACUCAAACUAUCAAUUGUUUCUUCAGGAACUGUUGUAGGAUGAGUCAUCCACCUUUCAACUUCGUUGAAAGGAUAUGGAAAGGAUUAUGAAUCAAAUGCUUGUGGCAAUGUAAUACUAUUGCUGCUUUACAUUGUAUUUUUCACUCUGGUCUGCUUUCUUUGAAGCUGUUAUGAAGGUGAAUGAAUUGCAUAUGGAAUUCCUAUCAAUAUCAGAGUUCUUGGUUGAGCUAUCCGAUGAUCUGUGAGUAGUUUUCAUGUAAAUCUUAAUGUUUUGUGUAUAAAAAGAAAUGUAUUGUAUUGUUAUUGGCAAGAUAUAACUUUCCAUUUUUUAUGCAUGGGAAGAAGCAUGUACCAUGUGUUAUCAUUAAUGGAUGACAAUGUGAUGCUGUAGGUUUGACUAUGAGGUAAAUCAUUUUUCUGUUGUUUUUUUCCUCUUAUGCCGUUUAUCCUGAAUAUUAAAGAUUGUUUUUCACUUGGUAGGAUGAUGUGUUGGAGAAUAAUUUCAAUAUAUUGCGCAUGUUUGUCAGAAUAUAUGGAGCUUCCAGGGCACCAACCAUGCUGGUGAGUAACGGUCAUUAUAAUAAGAAUACUUCCGUAAGCUCCAUGUAAGCUUAUUGGAACCCUAGAUUUGUGCUUGGGCUUGUAAUGCCAAAUAUAGUUUUGAGCCAUCCAAUGGCAUUAUUAAUUUUGUGUGGGUGCACGGAGAGUAUUUUUCUGUUUUUGUUUUGGACUAGGAAAAGGGGACUAAACAGUGUCGUUACCCUUAGAUCACGUUGGGGUAUUUCCUUUCUGACCAAUAGGCUAUGGGAUUAGCUAAAGUUUCCCAUUAUGAAUUUAUUCAUUGAGAGUUAGUUAUAUACUGAUGUGUCCAUAUAUGUAGGACUUUUCUAUUCUACCAUGUAUUCGCAACAUAAUGUUAGUAUUUACCAAGGAAAGGAGAGUGAACAGACAAUCCGGUGAAGUUCUUAAUCCAACUUUUCGUGCUUGGUUGUUAUGCCAUGAAAGGGAAAAUAAAUGGCUGUCCUCAUUUGUAGUCAGAGCAUUCCCUGUUAAUUGUGUCAGUCCAACUUAGUGGCAAAUCUUGCAACCACAGUUUUUGCUUCAUAUUCAUUGCUAAGCUAUCAAUACAUGAAUUUUGUUUAGAGUCAUCUUCUUGUUCUUUUUCCACAGGCAAAACGUAUCACCGAAACUGAGGAGAAGUAUGAGAACAUGUUGAAAUCUUUGGAUCCUGAAUUGGCCAUGAAUUAUCAGAAAAGGUGUGAAGAAGCUACAAAAGAAGGUAAACUUCUGGUAAAAUGAAAUUUGUUUUGUACCAAGAUCCAUGCAUUAUUUGUCCUAUUGCCUUGGGCUCUUCUCUUUUAGGUGGGAAGAUAUCGGGUCCUUCUCUUGGGACAUGGAAUAUUCCAACCAUAAUUGAAGACGAGGAUUCUUAUCGAUGCAAAAUCUUGAAUGUUAAGCCAACAACUGUAGUUCAGGCAGAUGUUGACAAGUGCUAUAGUUCAUAAUCUCAAUCUAACGAGUCUUGCCUAAAUUGUGUAAAAUUGAUCCGGGACUAGUUACACUUACUGUAGACUGACUUGGACACAGAAAUGGUUCUUGGUAGUUUCCCAGAUUUUAACCUAGAAGUGUUUAUGUUUUCCUGCUGAGGAAUAUUGGGAUUUGGGGGACUUGGAUGGCUGCCUUUGUAUUCUUUUUCCAAACGUUUCCAUCACUUGCUGUUUUGUGGGUGAUGAAGGAUUAUGGGAUAAAGGAUUCUUGGACUUGGUAACUCUGGAAUUAUCAGUUGAUUAUCCGGAUGGAGUUUUUGGUCCAGAUUUGCACCCCCAUUGGAUAUUCAAAGAGAAACAGUGAAAUGUUUUUUCAGAACGAUCAUGAGCUUCUAUGGUAUGACACUGAACAAACGAUUGUCCAAAAUGGGCAGUUUGGAUGGUGACCCAUUUAUGAUGACUGGAUAUCAAUGCCUUGCCAGCCUCGUUCAGCCAAGCAAAGGAGUCGAGCGCAAUCCUCGAUUCUGGGUAGGAACUGAUAGAGAAAACCUCCCAAGAUCCCGCAGAAUCGCUUACUAUGGAAGUAAAGAAAAGAGGAAGAAUUUCACAAUCACGGCUUGCUACCAAAAUGUGCUAGCUAGCAAAUUAUCUGUGUAACUGCAUUGGAAUGUUUUUGGCAGUGGUUUGUUUCCUUGCUUUCGUGCUAAGCUUUUACAAUUCAACAGUAUGUUUUGUGCUCAGAUGAGGUAAUCAACUUCAGUAAAAUUUAGAAGAUUCUUCCUUUGACAAGAACAAUUAUAGCGUUCAAUUCACCCCCUGUUCAUAUCAGAAUAGAUAUGGAUAUUUAUACAAGCUACACCUAACGUGAAACAGCAAAAAGUAUUGCUACUAUAAUUUUUUUGCCACGUCCUGUUCAUCGUAUUAUCAUAAUACUUCAGAGGGAUAAUUCCAGAAACCUCCCCUGAAGUUUUUGACAAUUGCAGAGACCUCCCCUCAAGUUUAUUCAAUUACCCUUACCUAUCUUGCUUUUACUGUUUAUAUAAUAAUAUAGGGAUAAUUUCAGAAACCUCCCCUGAGGUUUCUGACAGUUUCACUCCCCUCCCCUGUGGUUUCUGAAAUUUUCACAAACCUCCCCUAAAACUAAACAGGGGAUGCCAAAAUAGACCCAAUUUCAAAAUACAAACAAUAAAAAAUUAGUAGCUGGAGAGAGAAACAAGUGUAUUCCACAAAUGCCCUCAUUAUCUUGGGUUAGAGAGCUAAUGCAAUGUGAAGAAAAAUGAGGGAAUUUAAGAAGAAUGAAACUUGAGGGGGUGUAAGUGAGACCAAUCAACAGAGAAGCUUACAAUGAGGAGUAGUGAACAAAUGCAAUGCAACGGCUCUUUCUGGCAGCCAGUUCUAAUGUCUACAUGCAACGGCCAACUUCGAAGGCUAUUUAUCAGAGUAAAAUGCAGCAGCCACAGAUGCAACAAACAACAACAGACAAAUGUUAAUCUGUGAGAUGCAACUAAAAUGCUUGGUGUUGGAUGCAACUGAAGUGCUUGGUGUUCCAUCUUGAAUUGCAGCAGCAACAAACACACACGCAAAUGGCCAGUUCAAGCAACAGAGGUGAAUUCUGGAAUUCACCUACAUCAUUUACAAUUAGAAAUAGAUAUUGUCGAUGUAAUCGCAAGGCAACCAUUAAAAUUUCUGAGAGUGAACGGAAUCCACACAAGCUGUACUUUUGCUGCACAAAUUGCAGAUUCUUUGAAUGGUAUGAAGGUCCAGAAGAGGAAGAGGUGAGCAGCCAAAGAGAACGCAGACAUUCAUCAAUGCAAAGGGAAGAACAAGUCCAGAUUGGUAGAGUUGAAGAACAAUACUCCAUAGUGACAAAGCUAAUGCUACUUAACCUUGUAUUUUUAGCAAUUUAUAUGUUUAUUCAAAUUGUGAAGUCAGUUUAAUGAAAUCAGUUUAUUCAAAUUGUCACUUUCAGUUUAUUCAUAUGUGCAUGCAAGACGUUGUCUAUUAUGAUCUUAAUAAGACAACACCAUACAAUCUGUGCAUACAAAAAUUGCAGAACCUGUAGAAUCCCUGCAUAUUGCACUUUACUUCAAAGAUACAAAAUGUAUGUCUUUAAUGAAUUUACACUACUGCUUGGAAUUCAAAUGUCAAGCAAAAGACCAUGUAUAGGUACUAAGUCCAUAGAUGGUAUACAAAACCAAAAGUUACACCAAGCAUUUCAGCAAAGUUUCAGCAAAAGUAAUAAUGACAAAAGUAUCUCCAAUCGUAAACAGAUUCAAAAGAACAUCAGUAUUCUCUUAGCAACAAUAUAUGACAAGGGAGGCCUAACUAUUUAAAACCUCAAGCUAUAUAGCUGCUGCUGAGAUUGUGCGACUCAUGAUUAGCUGAUGUAUUGGUGCUCACUGAAGUUUGUAAGUGGGAAUUUUUGGUAGAAUUGGCGCCAGCAAUUGGCAUUAAUGGCAUUGGUUGUGAAGCUGCAAAUGAAGUUCUCCUCCUGAUGUUAGUUACAGCAGAUGUUCCAUCUUUCUUUGAGGGCCUUCCUCUCUGAAAUGAUGUAGGACAAGUGCAUAGGGUGAGCAACUCAGAAAUGAAAAAAAAUGACCAAAAAGCAACUGGAUGUACCUUUCUCUUAGCAGCAUCCAUAGUUGUCUGUACAUCAGCUUGAAUAUUAGCUGCACCAGGUUCAGUUGAUGGGCUUGGAUUGCUGCUUUGACUGGAAAUCACAACAGGCACACUACCCUCUAUGUGAUCCUGCAUUAGGAAAAUCUUCUCAUAAUAUAGUUAACAGUUGUUAAUUUGAUAGUAAACAGUUUCAGCACUCACUGAACAUAUAAUGAAGUAACGUUUACCCAGAGAACAGCUCCUGACAAGCCUGUGUUUGCAAUUCCCCUGCCAGGCCUUGCUCCUCUUAGGAAUCUGUACAUUAAGUUGUAUGUCAUGAUCUUAAGUAUGGUGAACAAAGUAACAUGAUCAAUAUUAGAAAUCAGUUAUGAACCUGCUGAUUUGUUUGCGAGGUAGAGUUAUUUCCUCUCACAGGUGGUCUUUGGCAUGUUCUCUUAUUAUGGCCAAAUGCAUUGCAGUUCUUACAUCUCAGAGUAGUAGACCUCUUUGUCUGAGAUGAAGCUGGUUCAUCAGGUCCUCGCCUUCUAUUCACUCUUGGUCUACCUGGAUCUCUCCUUAGGGGUGGUGGUAGGACAAUUGCUGGAGUGACAUCAGGUAAUGGAGGCCAUCGUUUCUCAUGAGGAAUUGGGUGAAUUAUGCCACUAUAUGCCUUAAUCCACAUUUCUGUUGAGAAGCAACCAUCACAGUAAGCCUCUACUUUUUGUCUUCUAUAUAUAAUGCCUAGUGCAGCAUGCUUACAAGGUAGUCCUGACAGUUGAAAAGCACCACAAUCACACGUCUUUUGGGUCAAAUUGACAAUGUAUUCUCUGUCCACAUCACCAACUUCAAAUAUCUCCUCACUUGCCAUUUGCAGUGAGCAUCUCCUAGACAGUCCAACAAUUUCCUUCAGCUUUUUAGUGAUUUUUGGAGUGAUGUUAGAGCUCCAUGUGCAGGCCUUGUGAUAUCUUUUAUGCAGCUUUUUCUGAGCUUUUUUCUUAAACCAUCAGCAAGAGUCAGUAUUGGUUUAGCUCUUAAAUCUCCCACCCAUGCAUUGAAAGAUUCAGUAAAAUUGUUUGUGACAUGGUCACACUUUAUCUCAGUUGAGUAUGCGUGCCUAGCCCAAGAUGCAGGUGGAAUCUUUGAUAAGUAUCUCCAUGCUUCUACAUUCAUGUCUUUAAUGGAGGCCAUUGCUUCAUUGAAGCCUAAUGCAUCAUAGCUCUUAGCAGCUUUCUAGAACAAACUGUUCAGUAAUACUCCAGGAAAUUGAAGCCUAAAGUUGCUGCAAAUGUGUCUGCAACAAUGCCUUCCAGUAGCUAAUGGAAUUUGCUCCUCAUAAGCAAGAUUCAAUCCCUACAGCAAUUGAGUUAAAACCAUUCAAAUAAUAGGCAUAGCUGGACAUAUAGAAUGAGACAUUUGCCAUGAUAGUAAAGUAAACAAGGUCUAUACCUUUUGUCUAUCACUCAUGAAUGUUAAAGGAACACUGUUAUGAAAUGGUCCAAAGAAUUCCUGGAAAAAGUAGAAGAACCAGCUCCAGGUUUCUUUGUUUUCAGAUUCAACCACAGCAAAUGCAAUAGGAAAAAUUGAGUUAUUUGCAUCCAAUGCCACAGCAGUGAGUAAUACUCCACCAAAAUUGCCUUUCAAAUGACAACCAUCAAAACCAAUAAAAGAUCUACAACCAGUUAAGAAACCAUCUUUCUGACCUUUGAAACUUAUAAACAAUCUCAAGAAUCUUGGUUCGACAAGUAAAUUGGGUCUGUCAUAAUGAACUUUGCAUAAGCUACCAGGAUUGCUCUGCCUUAGAAGAACAACAUAUUUUGGUAUCUUACUAUAUGAAGCUGCAUGUGUACCCUCAAUUUCUUCCCUGGCCUUUUCUCUUGCCCUGUAUACUUGUUGUUUGCUAGGAUGAACACCAUAUUUUAGCAUCUCAGCUUCAAUCCCCUUUCUGGAAAUGUCUGGAUGAUCUCUCAUCACAGCAACAAGUUUCUUUGCCAUCCAAUCAGAGGUGGCCUCUCGAUUCUUGCUGUCCAUCACACAAGUGUGUUCUGGUGUGUAUGACUUUAUCAUAUACGUCACUGAAUCUGCUAAAGGUGAGGCAUGAAUUCUCCACUUGCAUCCAUCAAUACCACACUUGGCUGUACAUCUGCUUUUUUCAUUCUUCAAUCUUUGUAGGGGAAAACCUUUUUGGAUCACAAAAUCCUUUAAUGCUGCUCUAAAAGCAUCAACAUUUGUGAAAAGCUGUCCCUUCUUAAACUCUAUGUCUUCUUUUCGGUUGUAAGUCCACAUCUUGCCUCUUAAGGCUUCUCUCAUGGGAUCUAUUUCAUGUUCAGAUUCAGAAUCAGGUACAAUAUCCUCAUUUUCCUUGUCAUCAAAGUCAGAAAAAUCAUCAUCACUACUGUCACUUUGGGAUACAGACCAAUGCUCAUCACCUAAAUUAUCCUCAUUGUUACUGUCCCAACCUUGAUUCCAUGAGUCAUCAGAAGUAGAAUCACUAAUGUACUCCUCAGUCUCACAAUUUAAUUCAUGAACUUCGAUAUUCUUGCCUCUACCAGUUUUUUCAGUUCUUAAAUUCUCAUGCUCAUUUACUACAUUUCUGUUUAGGAAGCUGUCACUCUGUUCUGCAGGGAUGAUAUCCAUCUCCAACACUUGUAUAUUAAUGACUACAUGAGAUUGAUGCACCUUGAACAUUUCAGCAACAGAUUGGUCAUCAUUCACAUCUAAGUACUCAGCUGUACCAGGUAUUUCGCAUCUCAUGUGCACCAGUAGAUUGACAUUUCCAGACAUUUCUUGCAAUGUCUUCUCAGCAACAUCAUUUAGUAAGUCAGAAUACAUGUAACUCUUGGGAUUUACCUUAGCCACUCUUACUUUUCUUCCCAUACAAUGGACCACAAUAUCAUGAACAUCAGUGUUAACCAUCCUACAAUAGACAAUCAUAGCCUACUGAAGUUAUUGAAGUUACAGAAAAUAUUAGUUACAAAAUUAACCAUCUUGCAACAUUGGUUGCUGAAGUUACAGAGAAAGCAUAAGCUACUAAGGUUUGGCAUCUAACUAUAUCAAACAAUCCAAGUCAGACGAGAAAUAUAGAAGCAAUCAAGCAUCAACUGGUAGAGGCUUAGCAAACCAAGUCACGUGACAAACCAGAAAAUCAUAAGCAAACAUGUAUCAAGCUUAUACGAACAACAACCAAAUCAGAAGUAAGCUACCAAGGAAUAUUGAAACAGUCUCUGAAAUCUUAAACGCUUACCUGGUAACGCAGUUUGUUUGCCAGAAAGAGACUCUUCUUCAGCAAAUGUUAGAAUCAACAAGUUUGUUUGCCAACCAUCAACCUCAAUUGCUAUAACACAACAAUGGCGGGAACAGACCAAGUUUCUUGCUUCUAUAUGCACCGUGCCUUUCAAGCUGUUAUGUCAAUCAGAUCAAGAGCAUGGCGCCUAAGUUUGGCGCCAUUUCACAACGGUCCCUUUUCUAUUUUCGUUUUUAGGACUCUAAUUUAUGGUUAAUUACAUUAAUUGUGUUUAUAACUAACUUAACUAAUAGCUUUCAGAUAAUCACAAAAUAUUAACAAAAUUGUAAGGGUAUUUAAGUCUUUUUGACACAAAUGAUGUAAGAAAUGGGACCUCACCAUCUGACAGGGGAGGUUUGUGGAAUUUCAGAAACCACAGGGGAGGGGAGUGAAACUGUCAGAAACCUCAGGGGAGGUUUCUGAAAUUAUCCCAAUAAUAUAGAUACCAAAGGCUUUUUUUUUUUUCUCAAAAAUCCUAAACUACCUUUUUUGUACAAAAAUAAAAUAAAAAUUAUUUUGCCAAUUAUUUUCUUCUAUAUUUCAACAAAACCCGCUAUACUAACAAACUAGCCUAGCAAAUAAUCUAAUUCCAAAUUCUAAACCUAACCAAUUCCAUUAUCAUAGGCAUGGAUGGGAUUAAUCAAGUUUAAAAGAAGGAAUGCAUCAUUAUGACUAUAGAGAUCUUCAAGAAAUUCAUUUUGCCAAAAAAUUAAAAUUUUAUUUAUAACUAAUCACACCCCAGACUUCAAACCCACUGUCCAUGUAUUUUCAAAACAAAAUGAUCUUUUUAACCAUCAAAUCUCCAACACAUGUUAACAUCUUAAAUACAAAGAAAAAACUCCAUCUGUAUAACAAAAUCACAACCAACAAUUAUCAAGUAUAAAAAAUAUAUAGAUGUACUUAUUAACAUCUUAAAAAGUUUUUUGAAUGGAUGAUAGGCAAAUUAACAAAUUUACCAAUUUUAGCCCCUCUUCCUCUUUUGGGCAAUGAUUGCAUUAAUUGUUCCAUUAUUAUUGUGUGUCUCUUCAUCUCCUUUUAGUUUGACCAUGAAAUUGAAUUUUACUUCAAUCAUCAAAUCUAAUCCCUCAACUAAACUUGUGACCUGGCAAUUCUAAAGAAAAAAAAAGAGGAAUAGGAAUAUAUAGUACGGUUUGAGGGAUCACUUGUGGUAUGAUUUGUUGCAGUUAUAGACAAGGGUUGGUAGUAAUUUGAGAGCGGGUUAUAAGAUAAAGGGGUUGAUGGAUGAGAACGAAGUGAUAGUAAGUGAGAGAAAAUCACCGUUAAUUGUAACUUGUAAAUAGGAUAACCGAAGAGAUUAGGUUUCUUUUUCUUUUUCUUUUUAAUCUCAUUUCAUUAUAUUGUGAAUUAUUUAUUAAGUGAAGGUUAUUAUAGUCAUUUUAUUGUGAUGAGGGAGGUUAGUAUAAUUUGUAAAACUUGAGGGGAGUCGAGUGAAAUUAUCAUAAACCUUAGGGGAGGUUUGUGAAAUUAUCCCUACUUCAUAUUUAAAGCCUCGUCAACCUGACAGACGUAAUUUUCUUCAUCAAAUAAUUCUCAUUUGAUGGAAAUGCCUAGAUUAUAUGUCUAUUUCAUGGUAAACAAGUAGUUUAUUGAACUCAGAUUCAUUUUUAUUUAUUCAUCAUCAAGAAAUGACAACCGUUUAUUGGCACAGAAAGGGUUGAUUGAGUUUCUAGUUCUUUUAUUUUUUUUUUCUUUUGACCGAACACGAUAGAAUCUAAUUUAGAUCUACUCUUAUUCUAGAGUAGGGGAGGGGGUGACCCAAAGCCCAUGUAGAGCCUUAAGACUCUCUUGGAACAGUGGAAACAGCAAAUGUAGUUGGUUGAUUGAGUUUCUGGCUCAAGCUGGUAUUGUUUUCAGUUGGGUACAUUUGCUGUUUCCACUAUCUUUUUCCCGGAAUCUUUUUUCCCCUGGGCUCAUAGUAUAUGAGGCCAGUGAUCAUCAUUUAACUAAAGUAUAUCCAGUGGCUUCUUCACAUAUUUCUUGAUUUAAAAACUAUAAUGGAUGGGGUCAUAAGGGACUGAACCCUGCUCUUGAUCAUCCAUGUUCUGCUAUUUGGACUUAUCCAAAAGGCAUCUUUCAGCACCAGAAUGACCAGGAGAGACCAAAUGCAUGCAACAAGCCUGUAUAGUGAUGCGGCUGUGAAGCCUGUGAUCUAAUGAAUCACAGGUUUCGAAUCUUCUCCUACCAUUUUGGCUUUUUGACAUGGCCAACGCUGCAGGGAGCCACGUUCCUUAUCUUUUCUUUGACUUGUAAUGUUCUAUCGGCUGUUUGUACAUGCAAGUUUAUAAAGUUCCAUCUACAUAUGGACAUACAAACUCUCUCUCUCUCUCUCUCUCUCUCUCUCUCUCUCUCUCUUCCUUUUGGGUCAAGUGACGUGGGUUCUUGAAGAGCUGAGAAUGUAAUCCAUGGAUUAGGUUAGUCGACUAUCAUCUAGAUUUGGUAUAAUUCUCAUCCCUUGUAGCCUCCAAUAUUCAUGUGGUACCAGGUGGGUACAAAAUCAGUGGCAAUACGAAUAUGUAGACAAUUGAAAAAAAUUUCUAGAAGAUUUAUAGUCUAUUAGCAAUUAGCGACCAAACCUGGUGCAUCCAUGUUGUCAUGAUGACUAAGUUAAUGAUAUGCUUUUUCUGUCGCAUGUAAUCACCAUCAGAGGUUGAUGCGGUAAGUAGAAUCAUUAAGUUGAAAUUUUUAACCAGCUUGUCACUUCUAGAAUAAGCUUGAGCUAUUUGCCAUUCAAUCUUUUAUAAUUCAUGGUGAUUCGGUCCCCCCCCCCCCUUUUGGCAAGGAGGGUGGUGGGUAGUUCAAAUUGAAAUUGGAUUUGGUAAGUGUCUAAGCUUGUUAGAUCUGGCCCUGCUUAGAUUUUUUCCUUUUGAUAAAAGAAAGUUUGGAUAAGCUCAACUUCGAUCACCGUUACGGGUCAUGACAUGUUUUCAAAAUCAUAGGUUACGUAUGUAAGUUCUUAUGGAUGGUUCAUCGACACGGCACUCAUAUCGAUAGCAGAAUUUGAAUACACGAUCUUUUACGAGAAAGUAAUAUAUUCUUUUCAAUUGAACCAACUUAUAUUGACUGGCUCUACUACAUGGGAAGGUUGUGCUGGGUACAAUGGUUUUUGAUGAUGAGAAUGUACUAAAGAAUUAAGACCUCUAAUGGAGAAAAUUGAACAUCUCUACCGGGUCCUUCUUCUCCAACUCCUCCUAUGCACCCAAAUCAGGAGACCACGUUUAGUAUAUAUCACAUACCCUUAACCAUAUAGACAUCCUCUCUUGAUUUUGUAGUUUUCCCUUAAACAGAUGCUUCUAUUCAAAGUACCAUCCAGUCUACAUAAUCCCGUGUUUUCUUUAAUCUUGAGGGUCCAUUCCACUGAAGUUUCAUUUUUAAGCAUCUCAGCAUUGUAAAGCAAUCAAAUCACUAUAAAUCAAUGAGAUGUCUUUAGUGGGUAUUUUUAUUAAUCACUUUGAUUUGGUGCAAAUCAAAUGACUUUUGCCGAAAGAAACUCAAACCUACUUUCAUUAAAUUCAAAGACGUCUAAUCUUGCACAAGAUAGCUAACCUCUCACUCGAGAAGAUUAAACAUACUUUACAAGAAGUCAAUGCUCAAUAUUUCACGAUGCAUUCACUUAAGGUCCACUGGCCUAGACAAUCAGUGAGCAUAGAUAUGACAGAUUUCUUGCAGAUUCAGCAUGCUGUUUAGUCUUCUACGUGUAGCUAUCUGGUUACAUCUUUCCCCUUUCUUCUUAAGGAGUUUGGCAGGAAACUGUAAGUUGCAAAAACCAGUUUUGUUAAGCAGCUUCACAAAAUCGAGAAGCAAAGAUAAACAAGCCCAAUGAUUCUUCAUUUGCUGAACUCCAAGAAACUCAGAAAGAGGCCAAAAGUCAGGCAGAGAAGAUCCAUUGUAUUAUUGCUGUGAUAGAAAGUUUUUUUGUAGAACAGCAGUAUCAUAUGAAGGCGGCACGCAUCUUAUAUUUACAUCUUAAAGGAAGCAGAAAAACUUCAUAGAAGCAGUAAUACAAGCAGAAACUUUGGUACCAUGACCUAGAAAAACAAUCAUAAAAACUCUACACGCGGUUAACUGACAUAUAUCAACUUCAAGGAGAUUGGGGCCAGUCAUAUCCAGCAUCCAUUGCCUCGACAUCAUCGUAAAACCACAUUUCAACGUCCUCGAUUUGUUGCUCAUCUCCCCAAUAGCCAUCACUUAUUUCGUCAUAAUCAUCGCCCAUACCAGCAACAAAAUCCCAGGCUAAGUAGCCUGAAGAACCAGAGUAAUCUGAGCAACUAUCCCAACCAUUCAUAUCAUAAUAAUCUACAACAUUGGGACCAACAAGCUUCAAUCUUGGGAAUUUCUUCACAAAGUUCUCAUCAAGAUUUACAUUGAAACACCCACGUACAUCCAAUAGUUCAAGCUGUCUGCAGUUUGUAAGAAUCUCAAUCACACUGCUUGUGCUUACAAGCAGGUAAGCAAUCUCAAGAUGCUUGAGUUUGGGCAUUGUAGAUGCAAUGGCAAGUGCUUCAUCAUCUUGGGAGAGUUUGUCAAUCACCUCUAGUGGGUGCAUUAUUCGACGUAACCCUGUGAGAAAUUUGCAGUUCUUUCCUAUUGCUUCGAGUGCUUCUGCUCCGAUCUUUAUGCAGUAGCUCAAAUCCAGAAAAGUUAAAGUCGAGAGCAUCCCUGCAACUUGUUCCACUAUUGAGUGGCUAAUUUGACUUCUUGGCAAUCGCAGCGUCUGUAAACAUUUAGCACUUGCAACCACACAAAAAGAAAUGUCAAGAGGCCCUUCUACAUCAUAGUGCAACACAAAAAAGCUUUUUGAAAAAACUAAGAUUUAAGGGCUCUUGCUCAGUACUCAUAUUUCAAUUCUUAAAAUACUACCUUGAUUCUUCAUAUAAAGCUGCAGCUUUUUGUGAAUUUUAACAACUAUGGUCUGCCUUGGCUAAAAGGGAACAACAAUAGGGCGAAUAAUGUGAGAGUAACAAUUACACAUCCACUAAUGAUGGCUUAUCUCUGAGACUCCAAAACAACGAGUUAUGACUUCAUUACACGUAUCAAUUGUUCAAGUAUGUUCACCUUCUUGCAAUUCAGUACCACUUGCAAAUUGACACCCAGUGCUAGUUUUGAACUCUCUUAAAGGAUUGAGAAACUAAUAUGAUCAAAAAGAAAAAGACAGAGCACAGACAAACAUUUAAGCAGGACAUUAGAAUUCAGAAUGUCUAACUACUUGAACCCAUUUUGGAGAUUCACAUGCAGUCAACUAUGUCUCAGCUCCAGAAGAACCAAAAGAAACUACAAUACAUUUUUGCUGGUGACUAAAUAAGUUGCACUCUGAAAAUUUUUGCCUUCUGAAUCAAGUUUGGAAACAUGGUAAACUGGAUGGCAUUCAAUGAUGAACAUUGUAUUGUAAAUGCAAGAAUAUAAAUACAGUGAUUGGUUACUCACUGGUUAGCGAUAUAUGCAAAGCUCAGAUCAUUGGAGAUGCCAGAAACACAUAGUUUGCGAAACGAACCACAGCUUCUCGUGAUGAGCAACUGCAGCAUUUGAUCGAUGUUUUCAGGACUACAGUGCUGGCUCCAUUCCUCAAUGUCAAUCUCUUGCCAACAAUAAGGCCCCAUAACUGCUUUCCUCCAUGAUUUGCAAACUCCAGGAACCACAGUAAGUAUCUCCAGAAGGGAGAGAUUUCUGAAUAUUAAACCAAGUGUAUCAGGUAUCAGUUCAUCCCAUGGUCGAAAAUCACAUCCCUCCUCCAUUCUUUUCACAGUCAGACUACUGCACAACACAGCAAGGUAAAGGAUUCCAAUCUUUUAGUCCGACCUGAAAAUCAAAAAUCUAGAGUCACUAAAAAAGCACCUAAAUUCGGUUUACGUGACAAGUAUUUACACGGUCUAGAACCCCAAAUAAAUCCAAUUGAAGAUCCAUGUGGUCUUCUGGACUUACUCUAUUUCACCCAUUGAUGCCCACAAGUGGCAAGAUUCCAAGGAGCUUAGAUUUGGGCAGGAAAAAGUAUAUGAAUUCAGGAAUCAUGAUGCAUGUCACAUGCAGAGCUUCCAAUCAUUAGCAAAUCUGCAGAUUAAUUCCAAAAGGGAAAAUUAGAAUUGCAGAUAGGAAGGUGAAAAAAUAUAAGAAACAGAACACAGAGUGACAGACAUUAAAACCAGUACACAGGCGGCAAAAAAAGAAAAGCCACCACCUUUGCAGAAACAACUCAGGACAACAAGCUCAUAGUCCUGGAGAAAGACGAUAAAAAUUCAACCCCGGAUGACAAAAUAUGCCAACAAACCAUGUCAAGAACAAAAUUUAACCAGAGAAGCUACUAAAUUUAAUCAAUGCCUACAUCGGCAAUAACAAAAUUUACGGAAAUGGAAGAAAGCCUCUGAUUACACCAAGCAAUGGAAACUGAUUAUUUUUCACAUGGAUUUUGUACGAACUCACUGAUACGAGGAUCACUUUCAUUGAAAGCAGCAUGAAAUGCUAGGCCCUGAAUGAUACAUUGGGAAAAACAAAAAACUAAAUAAGGGGUUCGGCUAAAAAGAGCAGGAAACAAAUGCCAAAGUAGGAUAUGGAUCUGUGAGGAGACCGCUUUAUCCGCCUAAAAUGCAGGGUGGUUUUAUAUCUUUACAAAGACUCUUCUUUUUCUUCCUCUGAAUGUGAGAGAGAGAGAGAGAGAGAGAGAGACUGAAACAGAGCAAACAAGAAAAUAUGAAAAAACACUCAGGUAUUCUACCCUUAAUAACUUCUCGUUUUAAAGAAAGUGAACAAUAAAAAAAUCUACAGAUUUCUUGAUGGCCCUUCUGUUAAAUGUUUGAUGAGGCUGAUUCUAGGCAAGUUUAUUGCUUUUGUUGUGAAAAUGGAUGGUCUAGUAUUUUACUAGCACAAUUGCUAUCAAUGUUCUGGCCCUUGUGGGCUCAAGAGUGGCAUUUUUCCUUUUUCCUUUUUUUUUCCCCUUGCACGUUUCUUUUUCGUCUCUUUUUUUGUCUUUUCAAUCUCCUUUCCUGUUUUUAGCUCUGAGUUUUGUCACAUCAAUUCCCUUGAUGAGGAAAGAUUUACAGGAUCUUCCAGCUAAGAGGGGCAGUAAAUGAAGAAGUGAUUGCUAAGCAAAGAAUCUCCGGUGACAGAAUUUGCUACUGCUCCUGCUUCUGCUGUUAAUUGUUAGCACGUUAGUACAAAGUUCUGUAUCCCUUUCAUUUGUUACAUAGAAAUCGCCUAGAAUGAAAAAGUCUUUCGAUUUGUCCAUUUCAUUCUUAUGUUUAAUACAGAUUUUUUGAGUUGAAAUAAAGGUCUUUCUCCUCCAAAGCUCAUUCUAAUUUUUUUUUUUUUAUGAAAAAUGUGAUCCGUCAUAAAAUUCUAAGAAAAGUUCUUUUUGAUUUGAGAAAAAAUAGCGACAAUUUUAGUUACUUUUCUUUUUUUCUCCGUUAUGUCUUGUUGUUACUUGUCAGCAUCCAAGUACUUGGAAUUUUGUUGUCAUGUUGUUUGUAGAUAAUUGGUAACGUUUGACAUUUGGAUCAAUUGCAAUUUGUGUUUAGAUUGAGAUGGCAAAGAAGGCCUAACAUAACACAACACAACACAACAUCAUUGUCUGUUUUCAAUAAUCUUUCAUUGGAGGCAAGCUUGCAACCAAACAUCAAAGUGAGCUGAGAAUGCCAAUUGAUGGGUUGUUGGAUGUGUGACCAAUUCAUUUAGCUGUAAUGAUAUGGUCGAGUUCAAUUGUCAUUUUUCAUAAUUUGCAAGUAAUGACAAACUUAAGGGGUCUCAACUGCGCAGGGUGAGCCUCAGCCUCACUGUAUAGGGUUACAGUUAAAGGUGCCUCACUACCAUGAGUUUCAGUCCAAAUCCACUGUAAAGCUUCCACUGGUUUUUUUUUUUUUUUCUAUUUCUUGUCUUGAUAGGACUAGUACUACUAUUUUUCUUGACAGAAACUGGACCACAAAAUUUAGACGUUGUAUCCACCAAUCCAAAGUCAUCAGUGUUUUGAAAACUAGGCAUGUUUUACUACCAGUCUUCCACCAUCAAGUCUUCUUCAAUUUUUGAGAUUUUGAGAAGCUAAAGAAAUUUUUUGCACCUUGAUGAUGGCUUCUGAAGUUGCACAGUUUAGAUUGCCAUUUUUUCUGAAAUAUUUUUAUGUUUUCGGUGAAUAUAUUUAUAUUUUUCUAUAAAAACUCUAGAAAAUAACAAUUCAAACGGAUAAAAAGGAAAAAUGUGUUAGAGCUUUUAUCAAUAUCAACAAUCACAUGCAAAUUAAUCAGUAUUGUCAUUGGAUUAAACUUAUGGAACAAUUUAUCAAGUGUAAUAUUUCGAGAAAAAAAAUGUAAUAUAUUUCAAGAAAGGACUGUUUGAACAAAAGGUUGAGAGCCAAGCUAGAGGCUACUCCACCAAAUUCAUAUCAAGAAAUGUGUUAUUUUCGCUCCAAAUGCUGACACAGUUUUGUACUCAAGAUGUUGUUAUUUGUCAAGGAUUAAUCUUAAAUACACUGACAGUAUACAUAUUAUCCUGCUUGGAUGGAUGUCAUUUCUGUUCAAUUUGAAUUUCAAAUCUAUAUUUUAUAUAUGUGAUAUUCAUUUAACCAUAAUAAUGUAUACAAGAUUUAUUCAUUGGUCAAUAACGACAAUAUAACUAUCACUUUCAUAUAAUGUGGUCAGAGUCUAGUAUUUCUAUCAAAUGAUAUAUUUACGGUAUCCUACCUAACUAUCGUGCAAGAAAAACAGAAAAUGUGCAAGUCUUAAUUUGGUGUUAUCUUUUUUCCUGAAAUCUUUAUUAUUUAGAAGAAAGUGGAACAUUUUCAUUUAUGAAAAGAAACAAAUUAAAGGGAUUACUGAUAUUGCAUUUAUUUGCUAAGCGAGUUAAGAAAAGGUUACAAUAACGCAAGAAGACAAUGGUAUUUAGCAAUUCAUUUUGGGCCAUUGAUCUUCUGAUUUUGGGCUUGGAGUAUACCGGUUCGGUUCUUCUCCGUCUCAGAUGUUUAUAGUAAAAUUUUCUAUUUAACUCAAUCCAUUGAUGAUAAUAGGACCAAUCGUCCAUAAGCUCCUCUUUAUUAUUAUUAUUAUUAUUAAUUAGGGCAAAUUUCCGUUUGGCCCUUGAACUUUUAGUUUAGGUAAAACUUAACCCUUCAACUAUUAAUAAUCAGCUUUUAGCCCUCUAACUUGUAAAAUAAGGAACCCGUGGUGCUUUUGGCUAGUUUAUCUGAUUUUACAACUGAAAAGACAAAUCACGCGAACGGCAAUAUAUUUUAUAGAAGGGUUUUUUUGUCUGCACAAAAACAAGCAAAAAGUCAACGAUGUAUAUUGUAUCCCCAAUCAACCCAACUCCCUAAUAGAUCUCAACACACGAAUUGCAGAGGGAAGGAAGAGAAAUGUUUGUCAAGAGCAAGCAAGAACACGCAAAUAUCAUAGCCCUCACCUUCCUAUUUGUCUCAACGGUCAAGUCACAAAGAUGACUAUUUCGUAGACUGAUAGAAACCCGAGGAGAAAGUACUGUUGAGAAAUGCCAACUUUUCCUACAGAUUUUAUCAGAUUGAGUUUGAUAUCAAAAUAAUUUAGUUAUUAGAAAAAUAAGAAUAUUUGUUAACCAAAGAUCAUGUUGGUUUGUUAACAAAUAUUUUAGCUAAGAUUAACCAUCGUACUGUAAAAAAUGGAUAGGUUCGAUCUAUAGUCAUUAGGGCCUCCUAAAAAGAUCUACUAAAUUCAUCAAGUUGUUCCAAAGGCUAGUAGAAGAAUAUUAUAUUUUGUUGAGAUUUUUAGGAUAAUUGUUAGUUGGAUAUUUUGUUAGUUUGUUUUAUGUAAUCACUAUAAAUAGUGAGUUGAUUAAUGUAGAACACAAGCUCAUUUUCGAUCUUUAAUAUAAGUCUCUUAUAAGCUUUUUUUGCAACACUAAAGUGUUGUUUCUUAGUUUAUGCCCCAAAAAACCAACAAAGUGGUAUCAAGAGCCUAUAUCUUAAGGACCUGAGUCUUUUUUUUUAGAGUGAUGCAUUGAUAAGAAUCCUUUAUAAGUUCAAAGCUAUGACAGGAAAGAACUUUUUAUCAAAUGUUUCAACUUUUAGUGGUGAAACUUACCAAAUUGGGGCCAUAAAAUUUUGGACUUAUUUGAUAGUGAAUGAUCUACAGGAUAUGGUGGAGACGAAUUUUGUUUCACCAGCAUUUAAAGAGCUGAUGGAUACACAAAUUAGAGACCACAGAGUUGCAGUUAGACAGAGAUCCAAGACCAGCAUUCACAUUUCAGUUUUUGAUGCCAUUUUCCCAAGGAUAAUGGCUAAUGAUUUGAUUGAGAAUAAAUUAUUCUCAAUUAAAAUAAAAAGAAAAAGUUUCACUAUGAAUUGGUCAGAUUUUGACAGUUCUAAAGUGGAACAUGAUGAUGAAAUCAAGAAUUCAGAUCUUGAAAAAAUUUAGAAGGAGAUCAUUGAUAAAUCAGGAGGUAUCAAAUUGAUUCCUGAUAUUUAUCAAGAUUAUAAUAUUACUGUUUUUGAGUCUAUAGAUUUUGAUGAUGAUGACAAAAUGAAGAACCAUGCAAAAUUUCAUAUUUCUGUAUAGGUUCAAAUAUCCUCAAAGGAUGUUUCACUUUAAACCUAUGAGAAGGUUAUUUUGAAACAUUAAAAAAAAUCAUCUUUUAUUUGGAGUAUGACAUGAGAAGACAAAAGAAAUGAUUUGUUGCAAGACUAAUAUUUAGCUUGCAUAAAAACCUAAAAGAAGAAAUUCAUUGCAAGGCUAAUCUUUAGUUGCAGAACCUCUUACAAAAACCUUGUCCAAAACAAGGUUAAAAAAUUUGAGAAGACAAUUGAAAAUCUGCAGCAAAAGUGGCAAGGAGGAGUUUUGAGAUAUGCCAAUCUUUCCUACAGAUUUUAUCAGAUUAAGUUUGAUAUCAAAAUAAUUUAGUUAUUAGAAAAAUAAGAAUAUUUGUUAACCAAAGAUCAUGUUGGUUUUUUUAACAAAUAUUUUAGUUAAGAUUUACUAGUAGAAGAAGAUUAUUUUGUUGAGAUUUUUAGGAUAAUUGUUAGUUGGAUAUUUUGCUAGUUUGUUUCAUGUAAUCACUAUAAAUAGUGAGUUGAUGAAUGUAGAACACAAGCUCAUUUUUUAUCUUUAAUACAAGUCUCUUAUAAGUUUUUUUUAUAACACUAAGGUGUUGUUUCUUAGUUUAUACCCCAAAAAACCAAUAAGUACACUAUUUGCUCACAAGAAGUUGGUGGCUGUGGGUAUUGGGUUUGGAUCAAUGAGAAAAUGUGCCGCCAUUUUAUUGAAUUGAUGCUCGACCUUCUAAGGAGGAUCAAUGAAAUAGAGAAGCAAAGAGAGGAAUUUGAAGUUGCAGUAUCAAGAUUGGAGGCAAAAGUUGCUAAGUUGAAGGCAACAGUAAGAGAAAUAGAGGAGGACCGGAUUGAAGCAUUCAUUUUGCUGCCUAAUUUGCCAUUCCAUUGUUGUUUCAAUGUCAAUGAUACCUAGCUAUUAUGGAGCCCGAGGUGCAAAUUAUCUCUUCCUCUUCUUUGUCAACAAAGAUUCUCAAGAGAAGAUGAAGAGAGGUAAGGAAAAAGGAUUAGUUUGAGAGCUUAGUUUAGUUGGGGUAGGGAAAGGAAAGAUAAUGUACUUUGUUCGAUUAUUACUUGUUUCUGUGUGGACAAAAAUACUCUUCUACAAAGCAUAUUGCCAUUCAAGUGAUUUGACUUUCCGAUUGCAAAAUUUGAUAAAUUAGUAAAAAGGGCAACGAGUUCCCUAUUUUACAAGUUGGAAGGUUAAAAGUUGACUAUUAAUAGUUAGAGGAUUAAGUUUUAUCUAAACUAAAAGUUCAAGGGCCAAACGGAUAAUUUGCCCGUAUUAUUAUUGUUAUAGUUGUUAAAUAUUUUAUACUAUUUUUCUUACACCAGAAAAAUUUUAAAUUUUGAAUAGAAAUCUUUUAUACUAUUUGAAAUUUGAAUAGAGAUUAUGUAUCAUAAAGGUUGAGGUGCUAGUGUCAAUUAUUUUUUACACUGAUAGUAUAGGAAAUAUCAACAUUUUUUUCCUUCUUGUAUUUCUUUAUUCUUUUUUUUUCUCUUUGAAGCACCAUCUAUUUUCUGAAAAUAGAAACUAUUUUUCUUCUUGUAUUUUUUGAUUGCACACAUAUUGGAUGUGCAUUGAGUACUAGCAUAUAAUAAAGCGAGAGUAGGAAUUUGAUUUGGUGUAAACAAUUUAGUGUCAUUUUUUGUAAUUCUAAUUUUACCCUUAAAAUUAACUAUUAACUAGUAAACAUGUAUGACACUAAAACUUAACUCCUUAACUAUUGAUACACUGCAAUUCCUUAAAUUCCACAACUCCAAAAUUACUUCUCCACGAUUAUAAACUCCUCUUCACCUAGUUACACGUCAAACUAAACUGCUAAAUAUCACACAACUUCUAAAAAUCUUCAUAUUUACAACUUCCAAAUUCUCACUCCAUAAAAAUCUUUUGCCAAAUACUAAACAAAGCACUUCUCCCGUUACCACACCAUCAUUGUGUCACCGGUUCUAAAUUUCUUUGGUACGUUUUGCUUAGAGAAAGAUCGUUCAUCAAUCAAUAAUUCUUUUGGGUGUACCAGAGUAAGUAUUUAGGACUUCCACUGGUCAUAGAGAGAUCAAAAAGGCAGGUAUUUGAUUUCAUUCGACAGAAGACUGUUAACAAACUUAAAGGUUGGAAGGAAAAGCUCCCGAGCCAAGCUGGUAAGGAGGUAUUACUUAAAUCUGUGGUUCUAGCACUCCCUACUUAUGUAAUGUCCUGCUAUAGAUUGCCAAAGGAACUAUGCAGAAAUAUAUGCUCAGAGAUGGCUAGAUUCUGGUGGGGUCAGAGGGAGGAUGAAAGGAAGAUUCAUUGGAUCAAGUGGAGUAGGAUGACUGAUAUCAAGUCAGAGGGGGGACUUGGCUUUAGGGACCUGCAGGAUUUUAAUAUGGCUCUACUAGGAAAACAGCUAUGGAGGAUUCACACGAGACCAGAUCUUCUAAUGAGCAGAAUAAUAAAGGCAAAAUAUUUUCCUGGGAAGCCUAUUUGGGAGGCACAGCAGAGGGGGACUGAUUCUUGGUGCUGGAAGAGUCUACUGAGUGCUAAAGGUUUACUGGAAGAAGGGAUGAGAAUAAGGGUAGGGGAUGGUGCCAACAAUUAAAGUUUGGGAAGAUAGAUGGCUGCCUGCUUUUGAGGAUGGGAGAAUAAGAUCCCCGAGGAAGCCAGGUAGUAAAAUUCAAAGGGUCUGUGAGCUGAUUAGAGAUGGGAAAUGGGAUCAAGAGUUGCUGGGGCAGGAAUUUGAGGAAACUGACAGAAUUCACAUAGCAAAAGAGAUGAAGAAAGGGAAUGGCUACUGCAAAGAAGCGCUAGAAUCGAGUAGUCAUGGGAGACAUAAGUCUUAGUGCUGGAAUUUCCUUUGGAAGCUGAACAUGAAGAACAAGCUCAAACACUUCAUCUGGAAGUGUCUACAGGGAAUCUUACCAACAAAUGCUGUAGGGGAAAUGUGAUAAAGGUGAUCCUAUUUGCAGCUGCUGUGGUGAGCAAGCUAAGACACUAGAACAUAUGCUUUUUACAUGUAGCUUAGCUAAAGCAAUAUGGAAAGCUGCUCCACUGAGCUAGGAUGGAUUGGAGGUUUUUACCAACAAUUUCUGGCAUUGGUGGGAAGAACUUAGAGGGGCUAUGGGUAGGGAGGGUGGAAGAGACCACAUUGUUCUCACUGUGCAUAUUUUGUGGCAAAUCUGGAAGGCUAGGAAUGACAAGCUUUUCAACAAUAAUAGUAGAGAUCCAAUGGCAGUUGUUAACAAGGUAGUGAUGGAGUGGAAUGAGUACCAAUUGGCUCAGGAAGAAAGGACUGGGGAGGUGGGACAGACACUUGGAAAGACUGAGGUAAAGAGGGGUUGGGAGAGGCCACAAGGCUACUGGAUCAAAAUCAAUACUGAUGCAGCUCUACACAAGAAGACCUGCAAAGCUGGAUGGGGCAUUGUGGCAAGGGAUAGGAAUGGGAUGCUGGUAGGAGCCUGGGCAUGUCCAACUACAAAAUGUGCAGAAGCACAAGUUGAGGAAGCUUUGGCGAUUAGGGAGGCAAUGGUGGUAGCUAAACGUAAAGGGUGGAGGAUGGUGGAAUUCGAAUCAGAUUGUAAGAUGGUAGUCGACAAAAUCAAUGCACAGGAGGAGGAGAUUAGCAUAGCUACUAUAUUGGUAGACAUAUGGCGGUUAAAAACUGAAUUUUAUAAAUGUUGUUUUUCCUUUACUAGGAGGUCUAACAACUCUGUUAGUCACCACAUAGCAAAGUAUGCUAUAGACUUGAUAGAAGUAGCUGAAUGGAAGUGUGACUUCCCAACAUGGCUGUUGGAGCUAGCUCAAGCAGAUUUGGAGGAGCGAAGGCUCUAACCUUGUAUUAGUUUUUGUGAUUAAUCUGAUGUUGCCGUUUUGAAAAAAAAAAUCAAUAAUUCUUUUGUCUUUCAUUUUCCUUUUCCUUUUCCUUUUAACAUGAUAUUUCUUUGUCUUUCAUUUUCUUUUCAUCAAUCUAUUUAUCUGAUUCGAGCAACUAAUAUUUUAUUUUUGAACAGAUUGCACGUGCAUCGAGUAUGACCUAAUAACUAGUAUAUAUAAGUUGUUAGCAUUUAAUUUAUUUGAAUACUGGGAUGAGGGCCCAAAGUAGUGACGCAGGAAGGGGACCAAUUAGAAUUUAGAAAUCCACGUGUGUUGUGUGGAAACGCGGAAACCGUAUUCUGGGAAAGGAUGGAGAGUGGGAGUUGAAGCUUGGAAGUCCAAAUAGGUCGUAAUGUAUGGACCAGAAUAGGUCCUGUAGACUGGGCAAUAGAGAGUAUCAGCACCGUCGGCAUAGUACGUCUAAAAGUGAAGCAGAACGCUGUCGUACCGUCUGAAUUUGCAUUGGUAAGGCCACAAAUAAUUGAAGCUUCAUUGUCUAGUUGCCUUUCAGGGCCUACUCUGGACCGAUGAGCAAUCACUAUCAUGUUUUAAAGAAGCCAAAAGUACAUGACUUCCUUCUGAAAUCGUAUAUAAAUCUAAAUAGUUUCUUGUAUUAUUUGAAAUAGUUUUCAAAAGAAUUAUAUAUUUCCUAUUAUUGGCUUGUUCUUGUAGAUUCUGCAAAAACUGACUAAGAAAAGUGAUAUUUCGUGGAUUUUGGAUUUUAGUUUUUUGGCUACUCUGGAUGAAAAAGCAAGCCAAAAACGCCAAAAAAAAAAAAAACUGAAAAACCUAUAACCCGGUGACAAUAAUUAAAGGAGACAAUAAUCCGGAAAUAUGAAAAUAUCCAUUAAUUAACUAAACAUUCAUUAAGUCAUUUCUUUGUGAAGCAGUAUUGAUUUUACCCUCCAAGCAGAUAUGAUACUUAGCAAACUAUUGUUUGGAUUGCAAUUUUUGGAGAAAUUGUUUUUGGAGUUUUGCGAGAAUAUUCUUUGAAAAUAUUAACCUAAUUACCUUUAUAUAUCACGUAUAUCAUAUAUAUAUAUUUUUUAAAAAAAACAGCGCUAUUUUUUUACAAAAACUUUGAAAAAUUUGCAAUCUAGACGAUAUUGAUCAUAUUUAUGCAUGUAGCUUGUUUUUGACAGCACUUAUUUGUUCAUUCCAAUUAGGGGUGGGCAAAAAAACCCGCCGAUCCGAAAACCCGAUGAACCCGAUCCGAAAAAUAGGAUACCCGAUCCGAUUUUUCUUAGCGGGGCAGAUGAGGGUCGGGUACCCGAAAAAUCGGGUACGGAUACGGAUCAGAAAAAUAAAAACCCGCGGGUACCCGACCCGCAGGGUAUAUUUUAUAAAUAUUAAAAAAGUAGGGAUCAUUUUAUAAUUUUGUAAUUUUUAUUUCUAAGCGCAAGUGAAGUGGCUCGCAGCCUCAUAUUCUAAUCCUAUUUGAUCUACUCUUCUCAUUUUUUUUUGAAGAAAGCGAAUAUUCUCGGUGAAACAUGAACAAAAUGAAAAAAAAAAUUUGUGAAACUCUGUUAUAAAAAUUGUUCAUCCCUUUCAUCUUUUUUAUUUUUAUUCUACCUCCAUCGAUCUUUCCUGCAAAUCUUGCAUCAAUUCAAUCAAAGAUUUUUGUUUGGAGUUUCAAUUUUCUGUUAGCUAGAUAAUUAAAAUAUUUGUGUCAUUCAUUUGCAAUUAUAUCUCUUUAAUUUGUCUCUUUUAUUUAGUGUAAGAAAUUUAUUUUUCUUUUUCAUCACCUUAAUACCAUAAGGUCUAUUCCAAAGAUGUAAAGAAGUUGGGGAAGAUUUUUAACAUUAUUUUGGUUAUAUUUUUUUCAAAAAUAAUUAGUUCUAUUCAAUUCUUUUCCGAACUUGAUUUCACAAUUGACUUAUUUGAGACGCGAUCUUGUACCAUAUUAUCCUUGGGGAAGUUACCAAAUACUUAUUAUCCUUGUGUUUGUUGUGUUGUAAAAGUAUGAAAUGUGUGAAAAUGGUGAUGUACUCAAAAUUAUUAUGAAACUUCGUUUUGUCUAUUAGAUAUUCUAAUAUGUACUAAAUUUAUGAGAUCGAUUUGAUUAUUGGAUGAAAUGUGUGAGAAUGGUGAUGUAUGGACUUUAAUUACAAUAUCUCUACCAAUAUUAAUUGGAAAAACAUGUUUUUUUUAUUGAAAAACAUGUUGAUAUUAAGUAGAAAAUAAAUUUUUUUUAUUGAAAAAUAGUUUUUUUUAGGGGCGGGUACCCUAUGACCCGCCCCUUUUUUUCGGGUACCCGCUAUUCGGGUACCCGAAAAUAUUAGGAGCGGGUUAGGGUCGCAAAAUGGCUGAUCCGAUAUAUUAGGGUCGGGUCAGCCAAAUCAUGUUAGGGGCGGGUACCCGACCCGUGCCCACCCCUAAUUCCAAUACAUUCCCUAUGUGCGUAGAUAAUAAAUAUUGCUUAUAAAUAUGAGGGGAUAACAAGGAUGUCAAGUCAUUUCAUUUGCUGUAGGUUAGCAAUUUUCAGAUGCAAAGAAGUAAUUAAAAGUUGAAAACAUACCUUAGUUAAUUUAUGACUACAGUUGGAAUGUAAUAAUAGGUAUCCGAAUGCAGUAAUAUCUUUUUAACAAAGAUAUUUUAUUGAAUAGAAUGAAGAAUUAGUACAUUAAUUAACUUUUUGGAACGAAAUACCAAAUUUCAUAACUAAAUUAUGACGAGCAUUUUUGAUUGAUUACAAAGAUUUUCUCAAUCAUAUUUACCUAUUAGUUUGAUGAAGUGGCACUUGAUGAAGGAUGAUUGCUUCUUCAUUCAAAUUAGCCUUGUGGACUAAUUGAUGCUCAAAACAAUCAUUCAAAGAUCAUCUGCAAUAGUUUCGGCCUUGAGCAUUUGUAUCAAUUUCGAAGUACGAGCACCACCCUUGGUUGUUUUCCCAUGUAACUUCUUUUCAACAAUUUGCAAGGAACCAUUCAUUUACAAGGUAUUCUUGAAGUCAAAAGUAAUAAUUUUUGCAACACUUUUUAGAAUAUGAUAUAUAUGUCAAAUAAUUAAUAGAAUAUACGUUCAGAUAAUAGUCAGUACUAAAGAAAAUUGUGAAAAUAUAAGUAUAUCCAAAUGGAGAUGAUAAUUAUAGGCGUAGACGAAUUUAAACAAAUCAAACACUUUAGCAUUUAAAUUUGUUUGAUUAUUUUGGCGAGUUUAAAAUUUGUUCAAAUUUGACUCGGUUACUUCUCGAGUCGAAUUCGAACAAACUUUUAUCGAGCCAAACUCGAGUAACUUGAACUUUUUAUAUAUAAAUUUCACUUAUGUGCUAAUCGAGCCAAUCUUGAACCAUACUUGAAAGUCUAACAAGUACAAAUUGUUGUUCAAGAUUCAUUUGAUUAGUUAGCAAAUCAAAUUCAAAUGAGUUCUCAUCGAACCAAAUUCGAUUUAAGUAUCAAAUAGUUUAGUUCGCCUACUUAUAAUUUUCAUUCGAUAUACAAAUUAAGAAAUUUCUGAAGUUCAGUUACAUCAAAGGAUUACUACACCCAACGGUGAUAGAAAACAACAGAUGCCGCUUCAAAUGAAGUAUGAGCAAAAUGUAACAGGAAAUAUUACUUAUAAGCGCUAAUCCAAAUUCUUGAGACAGAUAUUUCGGUAGCUUCUCAUCUCUUUUUGAAAAUGCAUUUUGAUUGUCCCUAGUGUAUUGAAAAGAGUACCUUUUCUCGUAGUAUAAGCAUUAACGUUGAAUAUUUCUUAUAAAUUCUUUUAUGUUCGAAUAGUGUGUUUGGACAGCCAAUUAUUUGGCCAAAUAUAUUUGCUGACAUCACCAUUACAAUUUCUAAUACACCUUUUUAUCUUCUUAAUUACCUUUUUAUCUCACAUACAUCACAUCACAAAAAGUGCUACAGUAAAAAUAUUUCAAAUAACUUACAAUCCAAACACACUAAUAUUUCCCACCAAGAAAAAAAAAUUGAUAAUCAGAAAAUACAAUUUUCAACUGUUGUCUAUUUUUGAACAUUUUGGCAUUUACGACCUCAAGUACAGGUGAUUAUAGCAGGUGAAUUCUCUUUGCAAGUAUCUAUUACAGUAUAUAUAUAUAUAUUUUUACAAAAAAAAAAACUUCAAAAAGUUAUUACAAUCUUAAUGUGAUAGUCUUCUUAUCCAGUCUUGAACACUGGAACUUGUGGAAAGAAAAAACUCAACUUACGAUAUAGUAUAAUUUUAAAGAAGGAUUAGCUGCAAAACUGCACUGGAACUAUUACCAACCUGCUAAUACUACUGUUAGAAAUCACAACUUCCCCGAAAGAUUACCAAUUUGCAGCACUCAUACAAUCAAUUUUUUUGCACAUUACUCAAAUAAACCUGAUAUAAACUUGAAAGAAAAUUAGUAUAACAAUUACUCGAUCCCUGAUCCAAGAAAUCAAAGUGCUCAAGAUACACCAAACCUCUAUCUCAUCCCAUUUCCAAUAUCACAUAUUUGGUUUUAUAUUGCUAAUUAUCUUUUUACCUUACAUGCAUUAAAUUGAUUCUACAAAAAUUUCAGAAAAUAGCAAUUCAAACGAGAAUUUUGUGUAUGAUGGCUUUAUGCGUAGUCAUGGAAAGCACAGCAAGGGAAAUGAAAAUUAAAUAGAUAGACAUAGAGGUUCUUUUGUUUUUUUUUCUUUCUUUUCUAUAUACAUACAUAUAUAUAUAUAUAUAUAUAUAUAUAUAUAUGUAUAAUUUUGGUAACACUAACAUGCAAAAAGAGAAAUUUGUACUACCAAACUGUCGCAUGACACAAUUAUGCAAAGCUAUGGUACUCUGUCGUCGGGGUCAUGAUAUAUUGAAUGAAUUACACCUGUUUCUCCAUCUACCAAAUCAAUCUUCUCUCAACUUUGUCUCAAAUGCAGUUCCUUUUCCACGAUUAGGAACGUACAACAAUAAGGUAUUAUUCCCAACAGUAUUUUUUUCUCCUUUUUUGCUUAAAACUUUUAAAAGUGAGCUUUUACCUCACUGUUCUGAACAUCUGAUACGAGAAUAGAAGCACUAAAAGCUGAAGACACUUUCUUCUCCUCGUCCCAAUCUUUCAUUACUGUUACUCUCAUCGAGAAAAGUUUGACCCCAGCUACUAGUACUGCUAGCAAUCUAGCUAGAGCUAGCCUCAUACCAUAUAGCUGCCCAACAACACAUAGUACACACAUUCACUUCACUUUAGCUCUCCUUCUACAUGAGCUGUGAUCCUGAAGUUUUGGUGGGACUAAUUAAGAUGACUUGAAUGAGAUCAGAUCAGCAAAUCAGGUAACGAAGAAAGCCUGUGAUUCUCACGUCAUGAAGCUUAUAGUGUGGCAUAUGUAUGGUAGCUUCCACUGACUUGUGUUACUAUAAAUCAUCAGAAUUGUCCGUCAACUAUUUUGUUAGAACCAAAAUAGUCCCUGAACUUUAUUUUUACCAAUGCCAGGUGAACACUGGAUUAAAAUAGGAAAUCUUGACACAACACUUAUUAAAAUGUAAAAAUGUAGAGGUUUGUCAAGAAAUUGACUAUGGAAUUGAAUGAUGUAGAGAGUAAACAAAAAAAAAAAAAAAAAAAAAGGGUUUGAGACUUCUACGAACUCUAAUGGUAAUACCCAAUCUUGUUUAACAUGACCUCUUGCUAGUUGCAAUUGCAACAACUGGGAAGUUGUGAGUUUUGAUUAUGGUUUAUAGAGGGUUGGGAUGCCAAUUUUAGGGGUUUAAUUUAGCUCGAAGGUGCAUUUUUUUUGGCUCUCUCUCUGAUUCGCAUUCCUAAUUUCUCAACAAAUGUCCAGUUGUUUUAAUUCUAAUAAGGGUUAUAGGUAACUUUCCUUUUGUGCCUCUACGUUGACCAUUAUCAGUGCAUAAUGUUUAUAAAUUGGGUCUGCUUAGAUAGCGAGUUUUUUUACAUAUUUUUUUUAUUUACUUACAUCAUCAACACAUUUUUCAACUACCUUUUUAUCUCAUAUAUAUCACAUUAAAAAAGUGCCACGAUAUUUUUUUUUUUCAAAACUCAUUGCAAAGAAUCACUACUAUCAAAUGAGGACCACAUUGGUAAUAUAAAUAUAGUUGAGAGAUGGCUGCCUAUGAGCUUUAGUCUUGAUUUGGAGUUACACAAUGGAAUGUUGGGAGUCAAAACAUGAGACUUGGGGUAUAAGACUUGUAAAUGUAUGUACUCAUGGAUAGGGCUGCAAACGAGUCGAAUCGAGUCAAGUUUUGGCCUAAUCGAGCCGAGUCUGGAUUUAAUUUUAGUGAACUCGAACUCGAGCUCGACGAGCCGACAAUUUAAAGCUCGAGCUCGAAAAAAAUAAAAAAUAAUUAUUUUAUUUUUUAAAAAAUAAAUAAAAUAAUAAUUUUCUUUUAAUAAAUAAUAAAAUAAUAAGGAUAUAUAUGUAAUUUUACUAUUAAAGAUAAAAAAAUAUAUAUAUACUCGAACUCGUGAACCGGCUCGCGAGCUAACGAGUUUAAUAUCUUGAGUUCGAGUUCGAGCUCGAUUUCGACUCCAACUUGAGUCGAGUUGCUCGCGGUUCGUUUGCAGCCCCACUCAUGGAAGUGGGUUGAAAAUUUAUUGUUGAUCAAGAAAAUUUUUAAGGAGUUUUUCUCUUCAUAGGGCAGUAUCCAUGCCAUCCUUUUAUAUAUAUAAUUAGUCAGAGAAAAAAGGCCCAUGUAAACUAGGGGGAUGCACUGGCAUACUCUCUAGACCAAACUAUGAAUUUUAUUGACUGCUGGAUGCAGUUCAGAGAAGGAUUUCAAAUUUCUCAUGGCAGCUAAUUUACCUUUAACAGGUUAUUUAUGAAAAUCCUUUAGGAGGUAAACCUAAAUAAUCUUUAUAAUUAAGCAACUAAAAAUGUUUUGAACCAUGGCCAAUAUAGGUUUUUUAGAGCUUGGGCCCGUUUAAUAGGAUAGCAUUUCCACUAACAUGCACAGUCACCUAAAACUAUAAUCAGGGGUUAACACCGACUUACACCUAGUCAAAUCUUUGUAAUUUUUGAAGCUUCCUUGUCAAAUCUUUGUUAGCUGCUGAAUUAAUGGGAGCAUCUGUCCUAUGACAUCUUCUUCUCCGAGCGUAAUUUACUAUGCAGCAUUGGACACUUUACGGACAAAAUUCUUGGGUAAUUGCAGUUGCAGGAAGUAUUUCCUCCACAUGCAGUUCGUUAUAUACAGUGGAAACUCAUCAUUUCUUCUACAACGAACUACUGAUGAAAGUGUGAAGGAAAUUUAAUAUUGACGUACCGUUUUUGAGGAAUAAACGGGGUCGUUUUUUUUUUUUUUUUGGGGGAUGCCCAACAACAUUAAAGGGUCGUGGUACUUUCUCAUAUGCUGAUGCCAGACUAUAAUAAUAAACGGUUUUACCAUCUCUCAGUCUCACUAUCUUCUCCACAUAAAUGCAAGUCCAGCUUCCCUCUGUACUUGGCUAGUUAGCCACUUAUCAACACGAAUCAAGAGAGUAAACGAGUCUAAUCAAGUUGAAUACCAUAAUGUUGAAAUAUGUUCGAUUAUUUUAACGAAUUUAAAAAUGCAAUUCAAUUUUGAUUUGACUAGUCGGUGAACCAAAUUCGAACUAAUACUUAUUAGCCGAAUUCAAUUCGAACAUUAAAUAAUUUGAUUCAUCUUUUAACCCUAAACACAUAUAAUUAUGCCAAUGUUGUGCAUAUUUGUGAAAAAGCCAUAUCCCAAAGUUGAUUGAAGAAGGUAAUUCUAAUUCAAAUGGACAUGGAUGAUUCAAAUGUUAUCCUUAUAUUUGCUGAUCUUUUAGAUAUGUGUAUUUGGUGAUCAUAUCUGUUGUAUAAUGUUUGACGGUUUUUUUUUCCUUGUCAUUAGCGCAGAUUUGAAGCAAUGAGAUUAUUAUUUCCUAUGUUUUUGGCUAUUUGAACUAAAGUAGUAACUGACAUCCCACUUGUAAAAUCUGUGGCCGAACUGAUUAUUUAAUUACCUGUCUGAGUUCAUGACUAAACUUGGAUAGUCAACAACUCGUCACAUUUGGUCUCCACCAAAAAAGGCUUGCUGGUCCAAUAGGUCAUGAAAACUUUUGGGAACAAGUUUUUAGAUAUGGUGAAAUUGGUUAAAUUCCAACCACUGGGCCAAUGGCUCAGUGGCCAUCAGGGAGGGGCUUAAGUCCCUCUUUGGGCUGUAGGUGAGGGUUCAAACUUCACCUGUAGUGAAAAAAAUCUAAAAAUUAUGUCAUAACACUCUCUUGGUCUAGUUGAGUCUGUUUCUAGUAUUUUUUAGCUGGAUUUCACUCCUUUCUAGUGAAUUUUCUCUCAAUUUCUAACAAUGCAUGUCUGGAGAAAGAAUCCAUAGAGAGAAGUCAAAUCCAGAUGGGUGCACCUGGUGGUGGUUCAGUCCCCACCUGCCCCCAUAGGCUCAGUUGGACCUCCCCUUGGAUAGAUUAGGAUAGAGUAAAAUACAGAUAAAAUAGGGACGAAUGAUAAAAAAAAGAAAAAAGAAAGAAGUCAAAUAAAUUUUAGCCUAGUUGGCCAGGGUCACUCUUAAGGGUGUUUCAGUUUGCAGUGAUCUUUUCAAUGUGAAUUGAGUUUAACGUUGUGUUGUACUUUACAUUAAAGAAAAAAAAAGGACCAAUUACACCACUCUUGUAUUAUAACAAAAUCUUGGAACCAUGUUUUGCUUUGACGUAGCAGUACCAUCAAUUAUGUGCUAGUCUAGUGCUUGAACAUCCUUCUUCCCGGUUAUCAUUUUCAUUCAAAUUUAACUCCUUUUCGAAACCUCCAUUGCUGUCAUGAGACAAUUGAUAGUAGUUGUUACCCUGCAAUGAUUGCGUUCUCCAGUACAAAUUCAAAGGUGUGUUAAAAGCUGAAUAUGAAGCAAGAAAAGCCCCCAUGAACGGCUUUAGCUAUGUUGGUGUGAAAAAGGCAAAAUGGCAUCUCUUCUCAAUUAAGCUAAGAGACUGCAAAUGAGUUUAUCUGAAAGUGACGUGUGCCCAGAGUUCAGAUUAGAGGGAGGGAAUGAGGGAGGGAGGCAAACCCUAGCCUUGUUGAAUGUAAUUAAUGCAUUUUCUUGGGAUGGACUGCGUAAGAAGAAUCGUUUUCAGACAUGAAAGAGCCAAGUCAUCUUCCCCCUUAUUUGAUUCCUUCAAUCCAAAAUCUAUCGCAGUCAAACCCUCAUGUCUCCUGUCUCUGCAAACUCAAAUAAAAGUCAUGUGCCCUCAUUAAAUGAGAAUUUUAACGACUUCCUCUCAUAACAUUUAUAGUGUGCUAAACCCCUAUGGAUAAUGAUAUACUUCUGUUUAUCUGCAUUUUGUUGUUGUAAUAUAAUACAAAAAACAUGCUGUUUGGAUAGAUGAUUAUUUGAAAUUUUUAAAAAAAAUUCUAAUAUAUUAUUGCACAUCUAAUGGAAAGUGAUUGAAAACAUAAAAAAAGAUUGAAAAAUGUGUUUAUGAUUCGGUGAUUAUCCCUUAAAUGCUUUAAACAAAUGGUAAUGCACAUUCUGAAUUCUGAAACUCCAAACUUUCGACAUCAAAAUUAUUGUAUGUAUGUCUAAAAUUUGAAAAGAGAUAUGUUCAAAUUUGAUGACAUCUUCCUUCUUUUUAAGGGAUAGAUAGACAUACACGCAUCAAUGAUUAUAUAUAUUUAUAAGAAUUAUAGCUUCAAGUUCAGAAUUUGCACUAAAAGAUAUAUCUCUUUCAAGAAAAAUAUGAAUGCCAUUCCAAGACUAUAUUUUUCUUGAAUAUAUCAAGCUGUACACUAUCAAUGCAAAAGAGCAGAUAGCUGCAACACCUCAGCCCCACCCUUCGCCUCCCAAAUUCCAACUAGUAGUGUAUAUCAUAGGCUGCUAGUGGCCAAAUCUCAGUGUUAGUAAAGAAAUGAGCAGUGACUAAAAGUCAUUCUUUUCUGCUGCCAAUCUACCGAGUUUUGUAUCCUACUUCUCGACUUGUUCUUUUCACUCUUCUGCCUUCUUUCAGUACAGGACCUUUUUUUCCUUCUCCUUUUCUAAAUCUGGUCAGCCUCAGCCAUCCCCUCUUUCCAGUGUUUCUCCACUUGCAGACAUGAUAUCCCAUCCUCUGCAGUCUAUUGCUAUACUAUACUAGAAUCACUCCAGUCUCUUCUUCCUUUCUCUUGGAUAUGCACCAGCUAAUUUGAGAGAUUUGAUCGAGUCUCAUUUGGGAUUUUCUAAAUAGAAGAUUCCUACCUACCUAUUAGUCUUUAAUCUUCAUUCCUUUUUUCUUUUGUGGUUUUCUUCAAGUGGAAAUAAAAUGCAACCAUGGCUAUGAGUUCAUUUCUUGCAUCAACUUUAUUAUCUUCAACUAUACUCGUAGUAAUUACAUUUCUCCAUCUUCUCUCCACAACUUCUUGUUUGAAUCAUAAUCAACCUCCGGAUACAGUUCAGGUGAGCCACCGCCCCUGCCGCCUUCUUCUUCCUCCUCCUCCUCUUCUUCGUUCUCUUCUUUUCUAUGUUUGCAGUUUGUAUGUUUUCUUGAACCUUUCCCUUUUAUUUUGAAGGGUUUGUUGGUUGAAGAAAAGACAAGAUUGGGUUCAACACCACCAAGUUGCUACAACAAGUGCAACAAUUGUCAUCCAUGCAUGGCAGUUCAAGUUCCCACGAUGCCAAGCCACAGCCAACUCAAGCCAAGACAAAUUACUCGAGCUACAACAACAACGGAUAGUUACAUUGAUUCAUCAUCACCCUCAUCAUCAUCACCAGCAGGUAACAGGUACUCCAAUUACAAGCCUCUUGGAUGGAAAUGCAGAUGUGGUGGCCACUUCUACAAUCCUUAGCUUCCUAAAAUCCCAUUUCAACUUUAGUACUAGUACUAGAAUGUAAUUGUUCAUUUUCAACUUUUAGCACUAGCAUGAGUAUUAUUAAUUAACUUAUGAUUUUAUAGAUUUAUAGCUUCUAUCCAUGGGAUUCUAGUAGAGACAAGACAAUCAAUUGAGGGAAGUUAGAGAUAUUAAUUUAUUGUGUACAAAUUGAAUAAUGCAGCCUUUAAUUUGUAUAGUGAUUAAUUGCAGACCAUCUGACUACUGAUUUUAAUUAAUGUUACUUUUAUGUGUAUUGGGAGAAUUUGGGGACUUGCAGAGUAGUACUGUACAAGUACUGCACAUUUUUAUUGUUGAUGCACAUUGUACAGUUUGCAUAAAUUAAAUUGACAUUGCUGUUUUACACAUUAAUGACUUGUACCACUAGUAUUAAAGGUAUGAAUGUACGAGGUGUUAGUUGAGUCAGCUUUGCCUUUGCCCCUCUCUAUAUCCUUUUGAUUCUAUUUUCAUUUGUCCUUCCUUACUUUUAUCUUCUUGGGAUUUUCAUGAUCUUUCCCUCAUGUCCUAUGCAUUCGAGGGUAUCUUCUUGUUACAGUAGAAAUUUGGUUUUACUACCUAUCAGAAGGCUAGGUUAUUGGAUGUUUACUAAAGGAACCUUGAUGACAUGCAUAUAUUUUCCCCUGGAUGGUCAGAUACACAUGCAGAACUGCAGGAUUUCAUGAGUGAUAUCAUUGCCUUUUUAGCUGUAGCAUCCCAGGGUAGUUACCGUGUUUUGGUGAUAUAUGCUAACAUAGAGAAUCUCUUAGAAAAAAACCAGAGGAGGACAAGAAUAGCAGCAGAAACAGUGGUCUCCCUAUACUAUGCCUGUUUCUUUCUUGUCUCGAGCAGGUGCCUUUGGCCUUUGCAGGCCAGAACUUAGAAAUCUACCAUGAUGGUGACAAAAUUGUUAGUCACGAUGCAUAUUUGGCAUAAUUGGCUAGUGUUGCACACAAGAAUGUUUAUAUUCUUUCAUAUGCAAUUAAACUUCAUGGGAAUUGAUUUUUAACUAGCAAGAGGGAUUUUUUUCCUCACCACAAAAUUCAGUUUUGAAUUUGAAUUGAUUCAAAUUCAGGCCACAAAAUGCUUGCAAAUGCCUAUGAAAAUUGUCGACUAGCAAGCCACGAGCUUAAAAGGUCACCUUGCGAAUGUGCCAUUCUAUGGGAAGCCACAAAAACUAUCUAUAUAUAUAUAUAUAUAGGGACAAACAAGCUAGUUUAAACUUGUGUAAAAAUUAGAACACCUCCUCCUAAAUGUCAAAUUCUAAAGAAAAAUAUUGGGGAAAUGAGCUGACCAUGCUCAACUAUCUUUUUAUUUGAAAGUGAAUACAUAUUUGUAGAUUACCCAAAACAAAUAGACCAAAUAAUUUGACAUACUAUUUUUUUCAAGUUCAAAUUUAGAUUUUGCGCUCAAAGAGAAAACUGAAGAGAUUCGUCCUCAAAACCUAGCUUUAACUGGCAGAGAUAUUAGUCACGUGACCGUGAGUAGGGCUGCAAACGAAUCGAGCGGCUCGAUUCGUUUGCAGCCCUACUCGGCUCGCGAGUUUGAAUAUAUAUAUAUAUUUUUUAUUUUUAUUUUUAUUUAAUAAUAAAAUUACGUAUAUUAUAUAUAUAUAUUUUUUUAUUUUUUAUUUUCAUAGUGAAAUUACGGAUAUAUCCUUAAUAUUUUAUUAUUUAUUCAGAAAAAAAUAUUAUUUUAUUUAAUUUUUUUAAAAAUAAAAAAAAUUUUAUUUUUUUCGAGCUCGAGCUCGGCUCGACUUGAUUCGAGUCGAGCUCGAGCUCGAAAAUUGCUAGCUCGUCGAGCUCGAGCUCGAGCUCGAGCUUGAUAAAAUUUAGCUAAGGCUCGGCUCGAUUAGCUCAAAGUUCGACUCGGCUCGGCUCGUUUGCAGCCCUAACCGUGAGUUUCUUGUUUGAGUAUCAAUCCCUCCCACACUAAUUCUCAUUCAUUCUCCCUUGCAAAGCGUGGAAAUUCCCAUUGAGAGUAAAAAAUAAAUAAAAAAAUAAAAAGGAGAGAGAGGACUUGACUUGGGCUGAAGCUGCUGCUGUGUUAAUGCAAGUGUCACUAGGCCCUUUUUGAAACAAUGCUCCACAAAAUCAAAUGGGCUAGUCCAACGUAAAGCCACCACAAUUAAUCCACACUACCUUCCCCGCCAUCCCCCCCUUUUUUUUUUUUUAAUAAUAAAUGUUUGGAAAUUGAUAUCCAGAAGAGCGAAGGUCGUUAAAUUCGUUAACACCACUCAACUCAUCAGUCAUCACAGCAACCAGCAAUGGCGUCCUCAUCCUCAUCAUUCACCAUGCUCCUCUCCGCACCCAAUCCCUCGCUCUCUCCUUCUUCCUCUCGCACCACUCUUUCUACUCUCAGCACCACAUUUCUUCCAACACUUUCUUCUUCUCCAUCUCCUUCUCCUUUUUCUCCGACGGCGAUUAACAGAAGAAGGGGAAAGUCUCUUUUGGUCUCCGCCGCGGCGGCUGGGGCGCUUCAGGCUUUGAUAUUCGACUGCGACGGCGUGAUAUUGGAGUCCGAGCACUUACACCGCCAAGCCUACAACGACGCCUUCUCUCACUUCAACGUCCGCUGCUCCUCUUCAGCUACGGAACCUCUCAAUUGGGGACUCGAGUUCUACGACGAGCUCCAGAAUCGAAUUGGCGGUGGAAAACCUAAAAUGCGAUGGUAAACUUAUAUGACUUGUGUCUAUGUUUUCUUCACUUGUUAUUUUUGUUCGAUAAUCCUAUUUGGAUUAUGAUUUUUGUGUUUUCUUUUACCUUUAUUAGGUAUUUUGGGGAGUAUGGAUGGCCAACUUCAAGGAUUUUUGAGACGCCUCCGGACAAUAAAGAGGAUAGAGAAAAGCUAGUUGACAUUAUUCAAGUUGAGUAUCCAAUUAUUUGUUUGCUUUCACUUUGUUGUUAAUUAUUACUUAUGCUAAUUGCUCUUUAAUUUUCAUGCUCAAUUCAAAAACUUGCAACAAUCAUUUCGGAGAGCGUGAAUCUUUUAUUGUUACUAAUUCUUCUCGUGCUUACUUUAUUAUUAGUUUUUUCAUCAUGUUAACUUCCCUGUGAGCAUUUACCUUGUCCUUGAGCUUGCCAAAAUACUAGAAAAGCGUAAUGCUGAAAAUAGUGUUUGAAAAAGAGCCAAAAUUUAGAGAUAAAGGUGAUGACAUUGUCGACUAAGAACCGUGGCCAAUAAAUUUAGUUUUAAUAUUUAGAGUCUAAGAAGUAGAAUGAUUCAUACUAUCAGGAAAAAUUUGCAACAAAUCCUAAAGAAAAAAAAAAGACAAUUUUGGAUAUCGUGCAUGCUGCUUCGUUCUAACCUUCCCGGGAAUACCUUUAUGAGCAACUGUGUUGUGUGCACUUAGACCCUUUUGUGGUUUUCAGAUUUCAGGACCCUGCCGCCAUGGCCAUUGAUAUGAUAUUUUUUCUUAUAGAUGGAAACGCCAGUUUACUUGGUGGAUCUUGAUGAUGUUUCUCAGCUAUAGCUCUGAUGCUGAAAACUUCUAAACCUAUCUUGAACCUAUUAUCAGAUCAAGCCCUCUGAAAUAGUAGGUUGAUGGUUAACCGAGUUAGCACCCAUAUUUUUUAGAUAGAUUGCAUUUUGUAAUUAGUUAUCAGCGUGACAAAUAAUUAAGUCUUAAGUGGAUGCUUUAGAACAAAGGGAGAGGGGAACUUCAAUCAAGCAGCAGUUUUUUGGGAAGUCUUUCCAAUAUUUUACUUACGUACUACAUGACUUCCGUAAUAUAGCUGUAUGGAUUUAAGGCUUAGAAAAUGAUGUUGCUCUGCAUAAGCAUUACAUUGUACCUGUGAGCAAGUACCAUCCAUCACAUUUGAGUUCAUUAGCACUUCUGCAGCCGUAAGCAGUGCUUGAUUUGUUACUUAUGCAUUUAAAAUCUUAUGAUGUAUAAAUUAACUUUUUACGUAUCAAUUUCAAGUUCAUUUAAACACUUUUAUUGUUGACUAAAGUGACUAUUUUUGGUGGCUUUUGCAGGACUGGAAGACUGAGAGGUACAAAGAAAUAAUCAAAUCUGGAACUGUAAGAGCCGUUAUUGUCCCUUUCUCAUUUGUGGUUUGCAAUCUUAUUACAUGAUGACGGUGGCUUUCUAUAAUAUUGGGCAGGUUAAGCCUAGACCAGGAGUUUUAAGAUUGAUGGAUGAGACGAAGGCUUCUGUAAGAUUGAAAUUCUAUAAACACAACUUUAACACUCCAGCAUGGGACUUAGAAAUAUGGAUCAUUUCAUCUGCAUCAGAUCACCAAUGACCUUAUUGGGUUCUGACAUAUAUUCUUGUCUGUUCCUAGAAUGCCACUUUCGUAUGCUUCUUCUUUCUUAUCAGAAAGGUUAUACCUACUCUCUCUUGGUUUCAGGGUAAGAAACUGGCUAUUUGCUCUGCAGCAACCAAGAGCUCAGUUAUACUCUGCCUUGAAAAUUUAAUAGGGAUUGUAAGCCCUUGCUUAGAUUUAGUUAUUUCCAUUCAUUUUCUUUUCUUUAAAUAAGGUUUUCACUUAUUGUAAACUUCUGAUUCUGUUUUAGGAGCGAUUCCAAGGUCUUGAUUGCUUCCUUGCGGGUACUUCAAACUCUUUAGCUAACAUGUUACAGAUUUGACUCUGUAUUUGCUAAACUUAAAAUUUUAUUUCUACUAAUGCCCACCUUAUGCUUUUAUGCUUAUUAUCUGAGCAUUUCAUAUGCAUGGUGCUCGAAGGUAACUGGUUGAUCCUCCUAAUUUAUUCUAGAACAGAAUAUUCAAGUUUAUUGUCAUGUGACAAAUCAGAAUCUGCAAGGCAAACCUAUUCUGUGAUCUGAACUGGAUGAUAUCUUAGGUAUUAGAUAUGAGAAGAAAAGUGGAAUCUUUAGUUGUCUUAUUUUGGGUUUUGAUAUUGUUUAACUUUUUCUAAAAGACAAGGAUAUAUCAUUGCUUUCUUGACUGACUUCUUGAGGAGGUUUAGUUUUCAUAAGUCGCUUAUAACUGGUCUAAAAAGUUUAAUACUAAUCAAAAUUUUCAAUUAUGAUCUCUUGAAUUACGUAUUUAUUGCCACCCUGCUCUUCAAAACAGUUUGCUGAGGAUAUCAGAUUCACCUUAUUGCUUGCAAUGAUGCUUGUUAAAAUGGUUAUAAUGAUUUUUAGCAAUUCUUGUGGACUCUUUGCCUGUUGACAUUACCUAGUUGGAGUCCUCGCUUUGGUACCACCUCAACUCAGGUUUAAAAUAGCAGAGAAGAAAUAUACUAAUAAAAUAUACUUUUUUGCUGUUAACUGCUUUGUUUCUAGUUGUAUUUGUGAUUCUGAUGGUGGGAAAAUGUGUUGUCCCUGUAAUAUUGAAGUAUGUCUUGAUGUACGAGUACUUAAUAGACAAAUACAUGUUAACUAAGUUACAUAUAAAAUGACAAAUAUUUUCACUUCAUAUGCAGUAUAUCUACUAUGACACCUUUUGAUAUGCAUACACUACAAAUUUAAAUGUAAUUGUGCAUGUAUGUAUCGAGGUCUAUGAGAAAAGUAGGCAGAGGAGGAAUAGCACUUGAAAGAUAAAAUUAUGAAUUGGAGUUUUCUGAAUACCACUUCCCACAAUACUUUCCUUGGUCUUCCGAAAGUAAAGAAGCCGUCAAUUAGUAAACUUUGUAACUACUUCCUAGUACUGAUCAAGUGUAAAGACUUAGAAAUAUAGCAUUUAUUUAUUUAUUAUUAUUAUUAUUAUCAUUAUUAUUAUUUUUUAAGUAGCUGGUCUUGAACCCAAGACCUCCCACUUACAGUCCCUCCCCCCUACCACCCAACCCAACCCAACCCUGCCCCCCAACUUUGAAAUAUAGCCUAAUCUUUGUUGUGCAAAAAAUAUUAUGAUGCCUGGAGAUAAAUUGCAGUAUUUUCAGUUUAAUUCAAUUGAUUCAGUAGAAUAGUUUGUAUAGGGAACCAAAUGUGUAUUGAUUGACCAUUUUAAUUGCUAUUAAAGUCUCUUACUUCCCCUACUUUGUCUUGGGUUUGCAGGUGAUGAUGUGAAGGAGAAGAAGCCUAAUCCUUCAAUUUAUCUAACUGCUGCUAAGGUUGUCAAAAUGGCAAAAACUUUUAUUCGUUUUGCUUCUGAGUUACCAAUCUGAACAUGGCAAAUCGAACUCUGCAGAAACUUGGGGUGUCAGGUGGUGAUUGCUUGGUGGUUGAGGAUAGUGUUAUUGGGCUACAGGUUAAUCUCUACUUUCUUAAAAUCUUUGAUUAUAAUGCUCAAGACCAGUGGCGGAGCCAGAAAAAAAUUUCAGUGGGGGAAAGCCAACUCUAAAAUUUUUUACCUACUCUUUUUUCAGUUUUUUAAGAAAAAAAAUAUUCAUCAACAAGUACAAAUGAUGCGUAUAUUUCAUGAAAAACAUCAAAAGACAAAUUCAAAAUUAUUAAUGUAAUAAUAAUUUUAUUUCAAAAGCAAACUAAACCAUUUACAAUUGCUCAUGAUGAGUUUUCAUAUUUUGAUAACGGUUUACAACCUUUUUAUUUUGAAUUUCACGAAGUAUAUUUUUCUCAAUAUAAGUAACUAAACAAUUAUUCAUCCAAGUGUCUUCCAUUCUAUUUUGUAACCGAUUCUUCACUAUAUUCAUCAUUAAGAAAACCUUUUCUAUAGUAGUUGUAACAACGGGUAAAAUCAAAGUCAACUUUAAAAGCAUGUAAGACACACUUGAAAUUACAUCAAAUUUUUAUAAGUAUUAUAGAAAUUUAAGGGGGGCAGUGGGAGCCUAUAAACCAAUAGAUACACAAAACUCUAGGGGGCACAUUAAAAUUAUAUCAAUUUUUUAUAGGUAUCAUAGAAAUUUAAGGUGGCACUGGGGGCACCAGUGUAAAUCCGCCACUCAAGACUCUGUCAACAUAGGCACAUUGUUGAAAAUGUUUCAGUUUUUAUGCUGUAAUUAUCUGUGGAUACCGACAGAAAAUUUUAAUAUCUGGGCGACUGCAUUUGGUUAUUUAGACCAUUUUUAAGCUGUAUUUCAGCCAAAUGUAAUGAGUUUAAAUAGAUCUUUUAUUAGAAUUCUAAAUGUGCCACCAUUUCUUUGUCAUCCUUCAUCCCUUUCAUUGCUUUUCUGCUAACAUAUAAGAUGCACAAUGAAAUUCUUUUGUUGAUGAUGUGGAACCGAAAUCAACUAAAUUCACCUAAAGCCUUUAUCCUAUUUGUAUCCAAUUGAAAUCUUAGUUCAUGGGUAAAUCACAUUUUUAAAAUCAAGAGCUUGUCUAUACAAUCUUUUAAGUUCUCUGACUUCGGACAUGCGCGAAUUAAAGAAGAUGAACAAAAGUAGACAUAAGAGAUAGUAGAUUAGGAGCCCGUUAUUGCCCAUUAUUAUUGAGUGAUUUCUAAGAUGUUGCUUAAAAAAUUUGGAAAUAUGUUAUUCUUUUAAUAGUUACUAAAAUGCCAAAAGCUGUAUUUCAAAGCACCUGAGGAGCUGCUUUUUGGAAUCAUCUUUUAUCAACUUAAAAAAAACUCAAAACAGAAGUCAAAUGGGAACUAUUUUCAGCUUAAAAAAGCUAUAAUCAGUUGAUUUUAUGCAACAGAGAGUUGACUUAUUAUAUCCAAUUAUUGGUGAAUUUUUUUGUAAGGUCUAACUUUCCUAGUGUUGGAAUGAUGUACAUUUUUGCGAGAAUAUCACUGAGCACAAAGUAGAUAAUGUUGGUUCACUCAGUCCGUAUAGUGUUUCUCACAAGAACUGGAAUCAUAGAAACAUUAUGAUAGGAUUUUACACAAGUAAGUGAUUCUCCCUUCCACUGAUUUCUAGCUUUAGUCCAACAAAAUUUCCAUGAGGAAUCGAAAGCAAACUUGGCAAAUUUCAUGCAUACAAAUUUCUAAUAAUUAACAAGCAAAAAAAAAAGUAAAAUUCAUUGUUUACUUUUGACAGGAAAGCUAAUUCAUGAUUUUCAGUUACUCUGUGAUGAUUUAACAUGUGUAAAAACUACAUUAUUUUUUUGCAGGCAGCAACAGGCGCUGGGAUGCCUUGUAUAAUUACAUAUACAUGUUCAACUGCUAACCAGGUAAGACCCGUUUUUGUGGUAUCCUGUUCAAAUACUUGGGUGAGAGGAAUGGGUUUCACGAGGUGCUAGAUCAGAGUCCGUUAUCAUCGGAGAUACCAACUGUUAGUAUGGUAUUAUAUGUUUGAGAUUGCUCUUUGAUUUGAUACAGGAUUUUAAAGAAGCAAUAGCAAAGUUCCCUGACUUGAGUGAUGUCAGGUAAACAUUGCUGUCACCAACUCCAAGAAAAUCUUUGUUUGCACUUGAUAUCCAUUUUGUAUGUCCUAAUGCAGAUUGAAGGAUUUAGAGAUAUUGCUUCAGAGUUUUGUGCCUGCCAACUGAAAAAAUCUAUCCAAUAUCUUAGAAUGUGUACAGGUUGCACUGCCGAUAGCCAGAUUCACAAGUUCGCGCUGUGUGUCAUUUAAGGUACCAUCACAUGACUGGUAUUUAAUUUUGAGGAUAUUGCAAGUGAAAAGCUAAGCUAUCCUCGACUUAGAUCAUCAUUCAUUUUGGAAUCUUUUAUAAAAAACAGACAUUAAAUUGUAUCUCUUCCUCCUAAGAUAUUACACUCUACCCAAGUUAUUCAUCUGACAAGAUAUGGAUCCUCUGUCUCUGUCUGGGUGAUUGUAUAUGCAUGUCCCACAUGCACGUAAGUCAACAUUAUAACAUUUGGCAAAACUCAAAACUCCCCUGUUGUUUGGGUAUCUUGUAUUAAUUUAUAAACAUUGGUUGAGCUUGGACAAGGGAGAAAGACAAGACCGUCCUUUAAAAAAAUCUUAUUUAGUUAAAUUGUUUUGUUCUCUCUUUUAUGUUAUAGACUUUACAUAGAUUCUAGUACCAGUAAAUUUCACCAGGUGCUAACCAAGCUAGCUUGUUGAACCCGGCCGGUUAUCACUGCUCUGUCCUGUUGCCUUUCUACUUACCAACGAUUACCUGGUGAUGCAAUAGAUGUUUUGCAUUUGUAUCUAUUGAAACCGACAACUAUUUGAUUCAAAUUCAUAAAUGUUAUGUCUUGUGAAGGUGGAAGAUUUGCGGGCUCCAAUGUGCCCUCAAUAAUAAGAGAGAGAGAGAGAGAGAGAGAGAGAGAGAGAGAGAGCUAAGUAUUAGUAUUCUAUUUCUUGAUGGAUUCUGCGGGUUGGAAGAUUUGAUACUAAAAUGGUUAAAGGGAUUUGAUUGAGCGGGUAACACACGACUCACGACUUGCUUUGCCCCAACAGAGUCGGCCGUCUUGUCUUUAUCUGUUUUAUUUUAUUUUCCUUUACGUGAAGGUUUAGCUUUUAUCGACUACACCAAUAAAAUUGAUAUAAGUGACAAAGUAAUACUUUGUGAAUCUUGUCCACAAAAACAUCAGAAACUACAAAAGCUAUCAACUGUGUAAGAGAAUACAAAUGAUGAUAUAUUUAGCAACUCACACAAACAGGUUUUGUUUGGUUAUUUUUAAAGAUUUGGUUCGUUAUUUUGAGUUUUAGUUCUGCCCUAAUGGACUUAAUUAGAUGGAUUUUUAACGCCAGAAGUUGAAAAUUAAAACUCUAUGGAGAUUGUAAAUUGCCAACCAUCACUAGAAAGAGUAAUAUAUAUUGGUUACCACAAACCAAUCAAAUACUACUGCUAAAUAUAUACAAGUUGACAUUUGACAAAAAAAAAAAAAAAAAAAAAAUCAAAUCAAAUCAAAUACUGCCAAACAUGACUUAGCACCACUUAAAGUUGCCGUCAUUGAACAGCAACUUGUAAUGGUCCUUCAACAGCAACUGAAAUUGAUUACACCGCUUGCUCUUACAUAGACAGUGAGCUUUCAUUUUAUGGAGUAAUAUCACCGUCCAUUUGCUGGACAACUCAUCCACCGACGUUGUCACCAGCCUGGAAUAAGUCAAUGAUCAAUUGACAAACGUUUCUAAUCAAAUGCAGUAUACUGCUUUCUAUCCGAUGAUACUGAUCUUGUAUGUGAUGAUUUCCUCUACAUCAAUCUCCAUUUUCUGGACACCGCCUUUCAAGAAAAAGAUAAAAUAUUUCAAAAACUAAUAUCGAUUUUUUGUUGCUGGCAGAAAAAUCUAGUAUAUGAUAAUCCAUCAAUAUGGUUGAAGUGUCGUUUUUUCCGUAUAAAAUAACACUAGGGAAAAACAAGUAUGAAAGUUUAAAAUAUCUAUCAAUAUAAAAUUAUUAGAAAACUCUAAAGUAUGAUUCACGCAGCAUUAUAUAUUAGCCCCAGCAAAUUAAGCUGGACAUGAACUGCAAAGGAAAGAGCAAUUAACCAUGGGGAAACCAGACAAGAAGCCUCACGUUAUCUGCAUCCCAUAUCCUGCUCAAAGUCAUAUAAGCGCAAUGCUUAAGUUGGCCAAACUUCUCCACCACAAGGGCUUUCACAUAACAUUUGUUCACACAGAAUAUAACUACAAACGUUUGUUGAAGUCACGAGGUCCCAACUCUCUGGAUGGUUCACCGGAUUUCAAUUUUGAGACCAUCCCAGAUGGCCUCCCCCCAUCUGAAAAUGAUGAUUGUACUCAAGAUGUUUUCCAGCUUUGUCUUUCAAUUGAAAAACAUUGCUACGGUCCUUUCGUUGAUCUAGUUAGGAAGCUCAACAAAAGGGCUUCAGUUGAUGAUGAUUAUCCUCCUGUAAGUCGUAUAAUAUCAGAUACUGUUAUGUCAACAUUCACACUUGAAGCAGCUCAAGAACUAGGACUUCCAAAUGUACUGUUUUGGACUGUCAGUGCAUUCACUGUCAUGUGCUUCUUGCACUUCCCUCAUCUUCGUGAACGAGGGUAUACACCUCUUAAAGGUAUGGAGUAUAACUUAAUUAUUGUUCAUUCCACAUGAUUUGAAUAUAUAAAAGGAAAUGAGAAAAGAGUAGACACGUCUUAAUUUUUGAAUAUUAAUUUCAGCUAAUAUGGUGGCUAAGUUUGCAGAAAUAUGUGUAUGAACGAUACAACCAUAUAGUUUAGAUACAGUAAGCUAUUGGUUAAGUCAAAUUUUGUAUGUCAUUUGAAAUUCAAGAGGCCUCUUAAGAUUUUAUAAUUUAAUAAAUGUUUUCCACUUUAUUGUCGAUUCUGAAAUUCUUUCAAAAUAUUUAGCACUUUUACCUUCCUCUUUUGUUCUUUAGCAUGUCGGACAUUCAUCUUUUUCAUUUCCCCUAACCGGUAUAAACUCAAGAAUAGUGAUCAAUUGGAAAUAGGAAAAUCUAAGUCAUCUUAAUCGAUCCAAUUUCCCCAGUUGCUAAUUUCCUUCCGUAUUCUUUUGACAUAAGAAGAUGUUGACCGGAAUUUUUUUGCCCGGAGUCAUAAAUAUGGUCAUGUUUUUCUGUUACAAUUUACAGACGAGAGUUAUUUUACAAAUGGGUACAUGGACAACACUAUUGAUUGGAUUCCUGGAAUCGCUAGCAUACGCUUAAGAGAGAUGCCAACAAUAAUCUGGACAAGUGAUCCCAAGGAUGAAUUUGUGGACUAUUUCAUAAGGCUAAUGCCAAGAACUUGCCAGGGUUCAGCCCUGAUUUUGAACACUUUUGACGAGCUAGAGCAUAGUAUUUUGAAGGAAUUUUCUUCAAUGAUGGAUCAUGUAUACACUCUUGGACCAAUUCACUUGCUUAUGAACGAUAUGCUAAAAGAUGACCACUCCACUGAAUCCAUCCAAUCCAAUCUAUGGAAAGAAGAUCAUACUUGCAUCGAAUGGCUGAAUUCGAAGGGGCGUGGCUCAGUUGCUUAUGUUAACUUUGGUAGCAUUACAGUAAUGACUGAAGAUCAGUUGAUUGAGUUUGCAUGGGGACUUGCUAAUAGCAUGCAAAACUUUCUGUGGAUCAUCAGGCCUGAUCUUGUUAAUGGAGGGCCAGUUGUUCUGCCGCCUGAAUUUCUCACUGCUACUAAGGAUAGAGGGAUGUUAGCAACUUGGUGUAACCAAGAACUUGUUCUUAAUCAUCCAUCAAUUGCUGUAUUCUUAACACACUGUGGGUGGAAUUCUAUCCUUGAAAGCUUGUCUGCUGGAGUACCAAUGAUUUGCUGGCCAUUUUUUGGUGAUCAACAGCCUAAUUGUUUAUGCUGUUGCAAUUACUGGGAUGUUGGCGUGGAGAUAGACAAUAAUGCGAACAGAACACAGGUGGAGAAGGUGGUAAAAGAGUUAAUGGAGGCUGAAAAGGGCAAGGAGAUUAAGAAGAAGACAUUGGACUGGAAGAGUAAAGCCCAAAAAGCAAUAAAACCGGGUGGAUCUUCCUACUUAAAUCUAGACAAGAUGAUUGAAGAAGUGCUUCUGUCCCCUAAAAUUUAAAUGAUGUAUUAAACCCUUUUUUUCAUUCCAUUCAAGGAACAUCAUGGUCCGUAGUUAUUCAGCAUUACGAUCAUGGACUCUUUACUUUUAUUCUUUCUUGUUUGAAGUGUGGAAAUUUUACUUAAGAAUCCAAUGCCUGUCGUUAACUACAAGUGUAUUCGCUAUUUGGUUUCAUCCUCAAUCCCACAAAAAUGGAUGUCUUCAGAGGGUAGAAAGGUAAUUUAACCUUUAACAAAAUAUGACAUGAUGAUUACAUGAUGCCCUUAUAUUAAAAGAUUUUUUUUUUGUAAGAAAAAAUUUGGAUGGACUCGACUUGGUUACCAUCAUAGGUCAAGAGCAUGUUUUUGGAACUAUAAGUCAUUUACAAGAUAGUUAACAACCGUUUAUCAAUAUAGUUUUUACAUCGACAGCGGAAUUCGAACAACAACUUUUUAUGAGGAAAUGCCCCGUCAAUCCAUCCUUAUUGAUCGAUAAGUUCUUACAAGCGCACAGGGUUAAUCAUAGCAAUAAUUCACCUAAAAUAUUUCAGAGGUCGACCCUACAGGGAUGAGUUAAUUUUACAUAUUUUAAUUAUUAUGAGAAGAAAGCAAUAAAAUUUAAAUUCAAGAGGUUUAAUAUCUAACUAUGAAAUAAAAAUAAAUAGUCAAAUUGAACAAAAUAGGGUUGAGAAAACAUUUGGUAAGAGACUAGAGCAUCAGAUCUUGACCCAGAGUUUUUUUUUUUUUUUUGGAGAAUUGGCGAGCUUUAUAUAACAAAAUAAGAAUUUACACCCUAAUCGUCAAUUUUCCCCUCUUAUCUUCCUCUACAAUUCUAAGAAGAUCAAGGGGAAAAUUUGACUCAAAAAUAACUUUAUCAACCCUAUUGAGAUAAUUAGCCAUAAAGUCAGCAGCUUGAUUACAUUGGCGAUAUACAAAAAAUAUAGUCAGCUCCUUGAAAUAUGAGAUUAAAUCCUUUAUAUCAAAAAAUGCAACUAGGGCCUUCCAAGGACAGUCAAUUUUGCUAUUUAAGAUAUCUGCAGCAAACUUUGAAUCAGUGCGAACCUCAAUACGUUCCCAUCCUUUGAGUUUAGCAAACACCAAUGCUUCUUUGAUGGCUUCCAACUUGUGGAUUAAUAUUGCGUCAACGCCUACUCCAAUAGCCCCAGCUGCUAAAAUGUCACCAUUCUCAUGUCUAAGGAUGAAGCCUGCACCCCCUAUGUCUCCUCGGACUGAUCCAUCACAAUUCAAGCAUUUAAUUCCAGGUCUGGGAGCUUCCCAUUUGCACCAGAAUAUAGUUGGAUGAAAGAAAGCAGCGUGAAGUCUCCAUUUUGUGGCUAAGGAUGGGUUGUCCUUAAUUUCAAAGUUUCUCCCAAUCUUCUUUUGUACUUGAUCUAUAACAGUCUGGGCUAAUGCUGUUGGUGAUCUGCUUUCCUGGCAAAACAAGCGGUUGUUCCUUUCUUGCCAUAUAAAAUAGACAGCAGCACAAAAAGAUAGCUUGCGUAAGAGACCCUUUAACUCUACCCCUCUGAUAUGUGAACAAAGCCAAUUGAGAGUUUGUGGCCAAUUUUGAGUUUGAUUGAAAGUCAGCCCAAGAAGACUAAGGAGAAUGUUCCACACAACCUUACUAUAAGAGCAGUGAAAAAAUAGGUGGUGAACAGUUUCAAUAUGCAACUCACAUAAGCAACAGGUCCCAUCAUUUGUAACACCAUAUUCACACAACUUGUCUUUUGUUUGAAGUGCUUCCCUUAGUGCCAGCCAAGCAAUGAAAGAAUAUCUUGGUACCAAACCUUUAAACCAGAUCAGAUUAUGCCAAUGCACUCUUCCCUGUCGUGUCCGGAUAGCAUUCCAAGCAGAUUUGGUAGUGAAGUUCCCAGACGGUGAGGGUCUCCAAAUGAUUCUCUCUUGCUGGUUCUUCAAUCUUUGAAUAGAGUGUAAUUCCUACCAGAAGAUGCUUAAACAUGGAAGAGAUAUAUCUGGUGGUCUCCAUUGCUGUCCGUGGAUGAUGUUUGAAACUUUGUCGAACUUGCAAUCCAUAGUAAUCAACGGAGUAGUCCAAUUGAAGGAAUUCCAAAUGACACCUCGAGGGUGCCAUGGUUCAAGCCAGAGAUAAGUAGAACUACCAUUACUAGAGUUUGAAUUAUCUGGUUAUUUCUUAACAAGUCAUGGAUGUAUGAUACUCAAGUACCUUAGAUUAUCUUUUGAUCCAUCUAAAUUGUGCCCAGUCAGAUCUCAUGUCUCUCUCUCUCGAGAUUACAAGUAUUUAAUUUGGGUGAUUUAAUUAUGUAAUACAAAUCUCAAUAUACUCUUGUGAUUAGGCUAAAUAUAUUUAUCUAUUUAGUGUAUGAUUGAAUAUCCCUUCUUAGUUCAAUACAAACCUUUUGAGCAUGUCUAUGGUGGCCAAUCACAAAUAUGUAAUUAAAUUAAGACAGAUAAAUCAAGGUAAAAGUUAAGAAUUUAAUUUAAUAAAUAAUCAAAACUUCUUCACAAGACCCUAAUCCUAAAUAAAAAUUAGUUCAUUAUAAUUGUAAGAAUAAACAAGAAUUCAAUGUUGAAAAAUACAAGACUUAGAAUAAAGAGCAUGUUUUUCACAGUUGAUGAGACUCUGAAUUCCAAACCUUGAUUUCUAACUUUGAUUCUUAAUUUUCAAAGAAAAACCUAGAACUAAUGUUCAGACAAGUGUUUUUUUUCCCUAAAAACGACAUAAAGUACUCAUAUUUAUAGUUUCUUAAAGUUGUGACCUAAGUAUGAUAUGAUUAGGUCUCUAAAAGCUGCCAAAAAUUGAGUUCGAGCAUAUCUCCCGAUGAAUAGGAAUGGUAAUUCUCAAUACGAUCCGAAAAUACAACUCGAGCUUAACAUGAAAUUAGUAGGUAUGGUUUAUUUUCCACAUGUUUGGAUCAAAAUCAGGUAAGACCUGAAUAAUCUACCAAGCAAAUAGGUCCAAAUUAGGUCAAUCAUGGGACCCAUUUGACUUGUUUAAUGUGUAAUUUUAUAAUUUAAUGGAGUAAAUAAAUUGGGGAUAUAAAGUAAAUUAAAAACUAAUCUAGGCUAUCAAUCAGUAGUAUGACGCAACCAUAGAUUUUAUGUGAAAAAUAGAUUCUAUUUGUGAAAGUGUCACAUUUUGUUUAUAUUUAUUUGUUUUUUUUGUACCAAAAAAGAAAGCCAAAGAAGUACUACAAGCAGCAAUUAUGAAAUCUAGGAUUGGGUUGAAAUUUUCUAUAUUUUUAUGGAAAUUUCAGUAUAGAAAAGUCCACCAUACUAUCAAGACGAGAAACUCAAAGAAAGAAAAAAAAUUAAGCAAAUAUGUUAUUUAGGUCCGAUUCAGGUAACCUGCGAAAUUAACAGACCGUAUUCAGGUCAAGAAAGUUGAUCCAUUUAAUUUUGCGGAUUGUAUUCAGGUCAAAAAGGUUGAUCCAUUUAAUUUUGCGAUCGUUUUCAAGUUGAUGUGUCAUUCAGACUAUUUGAGCCUCAAUCCAAUCCGCCAACCGACAACUUGACUUAAUUGCCACCCCCGACUGAUGAAGUCUGGCCCAAAGAUCCUUUCAAUGUCCAACGCUAGACAUGGAAUCUGCCCGCAGAUCCAUAUAAUCCAGUAGCCCUCAUUUGCUUCUUGCUCUGUCUUUGCUCCAUUGCUAAUUUACUCUAUUUGUUUUGUUAAAAUUGGUUCAUUUUCUUUCCAAUUGAGAUCUCCAUCUAUUAAAACAAUAUAAAGUAGUUUUUAUCCAUAUUAUUAUUCAAAUAUUAUAAUUAACUAGCAACUUAUACAUAUAAAGAUAUUACAGCUUAUGCCUUGUUAAUUGAACCAACUAGUGUUGGCCCUUAUAUUAAAAGAUGCAGGAAGCUAUAAUCAAUGCUUGGUUCACAAAAAGAACGCUAAUUAAUUUCUUUUUGGAAUCCCUUAACAAUCAAUUAUUCACUUAAAAUCCUCUCCUCCAUUCAAUCUGCUGAAGGGAACAUCAAAAUUUGUAGUCGAUGAAUAUGGAUGCUGAUAAUGCUAGUGCUAUCAUUUCGGUAUUGGUUAACGUUUGUUCGUUCGGAACUUCAAUAAAAGUCACAUAAGGUGCAAUUACCCGGAAAUGAUUACCCUAAACCUUUUGUCUAGAUAGGAGAUUAGAUAAAAGAUGUGAUUUGAUUAGUGAUUAUGCCUUAGGCAAAUUUCAAGAUGAGGAAUGGAUCAACCCUUAGUGUGUCUAACACUUUUGUAUACAACUUCUUGAGCCUUUGCUCAUAUAAGUGCACAUCUUUUGCCAAUCAAUACAAAAACUACCGUUGCAGAAAAAAAAAAGAUUAUGAAGAAUAUUUUGGUUUCUUAAUUUUUAAAGCAUCGACCUUGUUAUGUGCUGCACAUCCGCAUCAUUGUCAACUUUUGUUGCUUCCAUAAAUGAACUAGCACCUUUGAACAUAAGUGUUAUCUUUAGUCUUUGAUUAACCUGCCUACAUGGUGAUAUUUGGCUAGACUUCAAAUUCCUAUAUCGAUCAGUUUAAAAAGGCUAGUCUUUACUGCUACCGUUUAUGAGCUGUGGAGGGCUAGAGAAGCAAGUUGUUUUCGAAUCCAGGGCCUUGCAAAUUCCAUUUUACUCCAUUUCCAGGUAAAAUGGUCUAUUCAAAUUUUGUUAUACUAUAUUCUAACUUAGUUAUAACAUAUUUGAAUUUUUAUUACACCAUCUUCCAAUUCAGUUAUACCCAAGAAACUUGUCUGAAAUGAAAUAUAUGAGGUCUUGCCCGUGUAUUUUUCAGUCUAGGCUAGUCUCUUGUGGUAGAUUUAUGACUACCAUGGUGGAACAUCUGCAUCACAUUGUGCUGUACGUCCUGCGGAAAGAUUUCUAAACAUAGAGAGACAUUGGAUUUAAUACUUGGUUGGAACUUAAUACUGGACAAUUUUGUGAGUAGUGUUGGUUCAUUUUGAAAUGUGCAGUUCACGUACAUGAUUGGUUCUGUUCCUGAUUAUAAACGUUUUGCUUAUUAUAGAUAAAAAUCAUUGUUGCUCGAAAAAGAAAAAAAAAAUCAUCAAAUGUAUUCUUGCAUUAAUAGUUGAGUUAAAUGUCAUAUUUGAGGAUGACAUUCAACAAAAUUUAACUUGCAACCUAAUAAUUUGUUACAUGUCAUUUUUAAAGAAAGAAAAAUAUCAUCAAAUGUCUAUAAAAGUUAAUUACUACAUGUAAAAGACUCUCAAUGAUGAAUGAGAUUCAUGCAGGAUUUAUAUUCUGCAAUCAAAAUCUGGAAUCUCUAACCACAAAGAGAGUAACUAGCCAUGGAAAAUCCAAUCAAAAAGCCUCGUGCAAUUUGCAUCCCAUAUCCAGUUCAAAGCCAUAUUAGCGCAAUGCUAAAGUUGGCCGAACUUUUCCACUACAAAGGCUUUCACAGGACAUUUGUUCGCACAGAAUAUAACUACAAACGUUUGUUGAAAUCGUGAGGUCCCAACUCUUUGGAUGGUUCAUCCGAUUUCAUUUUUGAGAUACAAACAUGGUUCGCCAUAUCCGCCGAUACCGAUACGUAUCGGCCGAGUCGUAUUUGGAACGGAAGGACCGGUACGAUACCGAUCCCCGAAUCGCGGAUAUCACUAUAUCUGCGACGACUCGCUCUGAUUCGGCCGAUAUUGACCGAUUCGAAUCCGUGAUACAUGAUAUCGGUCGAUAUAUCCGAGUCAACUCGGAAUCGACUCCGAUAUUUUUUUAAAUUGUCUUUUUCAGUAUUUUCUAAUUUUAGUAAUUUUUUCAAAAUUUUUGGAAACUUUAAUGUGUUAUAAUGUUCAUAUCACCCGAUAUUCAACCGAUAUGCCGCGACGGAUAUGAAACAACUGAGACCACGACGCGACCGCGACCCGCGAUGGCGAACCAUGGAUACAAAUGCAUGAUCAUAGUGCUAAAUGGUCGAUCAGAUGAUGAUCUUCCCUCGAAAAGAUGAAAUGGAAAAGAAAACUUUAAGUACAUAAAUUCAAAUUUCAGGGGCCAGAAGCACUUCUUCAAUCAUCUUAUCCAGAUUCGAGUAUGAAGAUCCACCAUGUUUUAUUGCUUCUUCAGCUUUGGUCUUCCACUGCAAUGCCUUCUUCUUUAUUUCCUUGCCCUUUUCUCCCUCCAUUAAGUCUCUUACCACCGUCUCCACCUCUUUUCUGUUCACAUUAUUGUCUAUCUCCAUUAGUCUGUUGAUCUGCAAAGAGGAAGAUAUUUUCUUCUAAAGUUUUUUAACUUGUUAAGUUGGUUUAAUGGUAGGAUAAAUUGCUUAAAAAUAACUCUAAGGGGUAAAUUGAUAAAAAUAUUAUAUUUUAUGGGGGUAAAGUAAUAAUAAUUUUAAUGGUUAAACAUGUCUUUUCACUUUAAUUAACAAACUCCAUUAAGUUUGAUCGUUAGUCUUGGGGGUAAAGUGACUAAAAGAUAACGUUAAGGGGGAAAUUGAUAAUAACACCGAACGUUAAAAGGGUAAAGUGAUAAUAACAUUUUUUUUUUCAAUUCAGUAACAGUUGAUCUUUUCCUUUCCUUUUUUUUUUCUUCCUCAAUCUAAACAAAAUUCAGUAUUUCUUUUUUUUUUUUUCCUUCCAUUUUAGCCAAACAAGAUGGACGAAAAUCAUCUUCCUCUACUGUCCUUUCCUUCCUCUUCCACCGGUAUCCUUUCCUUUCCUUCCUCUUCCUUUCCUUCAAUCAAAAUGGUGCCCAAAGUAGAUUUUCGACAUUAGAUAUGAAAAAAAUAUAAUAAUGCACCGACAAUUACUCUCUCACUUUCAUAUAUUACACUGCUUCUCAUGAUGAAGUUAUAUUUGAUUAAACGUACUACUGCAUUUAUGGACGGGGAAAAGCAUUGAAAUUAAUGAGGAUAUGAUGCAGAAUAUGGUUGAGGCAGACUUACAGAUAUUAAAUGCGAAAUUAAAUCUUUUAUUUCUUUCAAUCCCGUUGUACUUAUACGUAAUUUUCCAAAAUUUAAAUACGGAUGCAUCAUGCAUGACCAUACGGCUCACUGAUCAACGACAAACACUGAUAAUCCCUUGAAUAGAUGAAAUGGAAAAGAUGGUUAAAGUAAAUAACUUAAAUUUUAGGGGCCAGAAGCACUUCUUCAAUCAUCUUAUCCAGAUUCAGGUAGGAAGAUCCACCAUGUUUUAUUGCUUCUUCAGCUUUGUUCUUCCACUCCAAUGUCUUCUUCUUGAUUUCCUUGCCCUUUUCUCCCUCCAUUAAGUCUCUUACCGCAUUCUCCACCUCUUUU